UGACCAAAAAAACCUUGAGAUUUUAUAAUGAGACGAGCAAAUCUGAUAUCUGGGGAAAAAGAGUGAUAAUGUAAACCUUUUGGAAUACAGAAAUAAGUCAUUUGGUUUAAGAAGUUGUUUUCUAUGCGUAUGUCUAAGGGCAUCUAGAAUCAUGUGAACAUGGUAAAGAGUUACUUUUUGAUGAAACUAUCUUUAUUGUUCCGAAAUUUCUGGUUUUUGAUUGAUCAAUUUACAACUCUGCUGCUUGCGGCCACAUAGCCAUAGUUAAUACAGGGACAUGUGGAUUCAUAUAAGCAUUGAAAUGAAUUAAUCUUAAUGAAACUUCCUUCUUGUCUUAGUGUAUUAUUGUCUAGCCUUUUUCUGAAUUAAUGUGAAAUUUUCAUGUAGGGAAUUUGCAGUCUAUCAUACUAUAUCAAGUUUCUGGUAGUGUUUUUGUAACAGAAAUACACAGAGAGCUUUCUAAACUCAUGAACUUAAUGUUCGCUACCUAAAAUGCAUUCUUGGACAAAGCAUAAGAAAUUAAUGGUGCUGUAGCUGUUUAAAUUUCUGAUCUGUCUCCAUGAAGUUUGUUUAACAAACAACUGUCUUGUUUCUCUUCAGAUAUUUGUUAACAUGCGUUUUUUUUAAUACAUUUUUUAAAAAAAUUUUUGAAGGUCAUCCAUGGAUUUUGUUCUACACUGAAUCCACAAUGAAGACUCAUAAGAUCUUGCCAAGUAGGAAAAAACAGGUUAAUAUGACUUCAAGACAGUUGACUGCUAAUACUGGAGUAGAGUCGGAGAGAAACAGAUCAACAAUUUUAAACUCACUCUAUGAUGACUCUAGACCUACUUUUUCCUCCUAUACUUCAGAAAAGAUGCUUGAAGGUGAAGAUUCUGCUUUGGUUGAUAUUCUUGCUGUGGCAAUCUCCCAUGUAAGGAUAUCAGAGCCAAAGAGAAGCAGGCUUUGGAACCCUGUUAGGCCAAUGCAGGCGGAAUGUUCCUCUAACAUGAAGGCUGGCAGCCUCUGUACUGCAUUUUGAUUGAAUUGCUACCUGCUAAUACCUCAGAAAUCACUUCCAAUGUAAAUAUGACUUGGAUGGAAGACAAACAUCAGGAACCGUACCAGACAGCAGUUUAACAAAGAGCGUGAUGAGCUUGAGCAUGUUGACUUUUUAUACUUAGGGAUGUCCUGAUUGUUAAGCAAAGUUUUUGUUUCCCCUUUUCCGAGGAAUUAUAAGGCUAUCCGGUGUGCCUUGUUCACUUUAUUUCUAACUUGACCUAGUAAAUCUUGCAAGCGGGUCUGUAGAUAUCAUGUAAAUACAGAUUUGCUGCUUCUUGGUUGCUUGUUAUGCUUGUCAUGCAGAUAAUAGCUGUCUACUUGACAUUAUGCUGAAGUAGGAAUCAAGAAGAACAUUUAUUGCUCAGCGUGAAAGUUGGAAGGGCUGUAACCAUAUAAGGAUAACAAUUUGUUGUUUUUGGCUGAAAGUGUCUUUGAAUGUCGAUGACUAGGGUUGAUAACUGUUUGCUGCAGGUCUCAUCCUGAAAGAAAGUUGUCAUUCAUUGUGACUGUAAUUAAAAUGAAUGAAUUGAGGCAUGACGCUUUGGAUGACAAUGAAUUGCCAUCUUUACCAUUACCAGCUCACCGCCUCAGGGUAUGUUUUAAGGAGAAAUCCCAGGGCAUUCUGAAUUAUGCAUGAGCCAGAAUCUAUCUGUGAAACAAAUGAACCAAACUUCCAGUUUCCACUGAAACGAAUCCCAGACCAUGGUAAUGGGGUUAAUUUCAUAUAAAUCAUCUCCUACCGGAGGGUUUCAUAACAUUUGAAUCUCGGGGGUUCCUUCAAAAAAAAAGAAAAAAAAAAUCUCGGGGGUUGAAUGGUGAUCUUGGAUAAGUUCUGCUGCAGAUCCCAUGCACAAGAAGUCAAAAAAAAAAAAAAACCGCAUGGUGAAGAUAGGGAGGAGUACACCAUUUGCCCUCAUGUAGAAGAAGAGUAGAGUUCAAGUUCUGGGCAUUGAAUCUCCGUUAACUUCUUCUGCAUACGAUUAUAAGACCUCCUCCUAUUGCAUUGCAUGAUAUCAACGGUAAAUACUACACCAGCCAUGAUCCGUGUGUAUGUAUGUGCUUUGAAAGUUUUUUUAAGUUUAGCGUUGGGUGUUUUUGCAUGUUUCCGUGUCAGCAGUAGCAAUAUAACAUUCGUCGUUCGCGACCUACUUUGUAAUCACACGGGAUCCUCAGUGCCAUAGAGGAUCCCAACUGAUCGGAAAUUCAGGAUUGAUCACGAAAUUAGCAAUUGGGAUCCUCUAUAUCACUAUUCGGUGUCAAAUCCAGUGCCAAUUCACUUAUCACGUGAUGGUAAAAAAAAUUUAAAUAAAUAGCACAUGACAAAUUAAAUAAACAGAACACUUGGCAUAAAUAUAGAAGUAGCAUUGAAUUGUCACUGGAAAAGUGGCAGUAAGGAUCCCGUGUGGAUAAGCAAGGCUUUAAUCCUCCUCUACUACUACUAUUUUGAAUUUUUCAUUUUAUUCUAGUGCAUAAGAUAGGGAUAAUUUUAGAAGCCUCCCCUGAAAAUUUUAACAAUUACAAUCACCUCCUCUGAGGUUUGAAAACUUACAAAAUCCUUCUCUAUAAAUAGGGAUGGCAACGGGGCGGGGUUGGGGUUGGGGACCCCUCCCCCAUCCCUCGGCCCGCUGCCUACAAACUCCCCAAGCCCCCGCCCCAUCCCCCGUCCCCCGCUCCCCCCGCCUCGUCCCCGUCCCGCCCCGCUUCCCUCGCGGGUGCUCUCGCGGGGCUAAUAAAAAUUUGUUAUAUAAUUUUAUUAUGGUUAAAUUUUAGCAAAUAAUCAAGUAUUAAAAUAUCAACACAUCAUCAAAUUAUUAUUUAUUGUAAUUUUACAAUUGAAACUUAUAAAAACAAUCAAACAAAAUUAUUUGAAUACAAUCCAACAUGAUGAAAUAAAUAUAACUAAUGUAGUCAAGUUUUCACUCUUGGCACAAAUACAAUCAUUAAUUCAUUAUUGUGCUUGUGCUUUUUUUAAGAAAAAAAUGUUAAUGUAUUAAGUGUAAUUAGGGAUUUAGUAUAAAUGUAUUAGUAAAUUUAGUAUAACCAAUUAAUAAUUUGUAUUAGUACACAUAUAUAAUUAUUAGUAUAAUUAAUAAUAUCAAUUAUAUUAUAUAUACUAAUAAAUAUCAUAUAAUACAUAUAACUAAUAAUAUCAUUAUCAUAAGUUUGUAACUAAUUAAAUUAUAUAUUAUAUAUAUAAUUAUAUACAUAUAUAUAUUUUAUAUAUUUAUUUUUUUAAAGCGGGUGGCGGGGCGGGGGAUGGGACGGGGGUACACUCCCCCGCCCCCCGCCCCGUUUCAAAGCGGGGGGUAAAAAAUUCCUCCCGCCCCAACCCCCUCCCCAUUAGCCCCCCGCGGGGCGGGUGCCUGCGGUUACCCGCCCUCAUUGCCAUCCCUAUCUAUAAAACAUGUAUUGGUAACGAUUGAUGAUAUACGCAAAAAAAAAAAAAAAAUCUAACGAAUAUUCAAUAUUACUCCUCUCUAAUAUGUAAAACAAAUUAAAUGCUAAAAAGUCAACUAUAAUCAUUAUCUGUUAGGUGAAAAUUUCAAGUUAAUUUUUUUGUAAUAAAUUUAAGCCAUGUUUUGAAAGCAUUCUUUUUUUAUACUUUGGACAUUUUUUUUUGGUUAAGUAAUUUUUUGCAGAUACUUAUUUUAAUAGAUGCCUCUCUAAUUAGUUGGUCGACUUUUUGUAAAUUGAUUAAUAAGUUUAGUCAAAAAAAUUAGGAAUGAAGUAUGGCGUCUUAGAUCAUAUGACAUUAGAGUUUUAGGAUAAAGAAGUAUAUAUCAAAAAAGAAUUUCCUUUUUUCUUUUUUAAACUCAUUUUCACUUAAAUUUUGUAAAAGUUUAUGAGGGUUAUCAUAGUUUUUCAUAGCAUCAAGGGAGGUAAGUAUAAUUUUUCAAACUUUAGAAGCGGUACCCACAAUUAUCCAAAACAUCAAGGCCAGUUUAUGAAAUUAUCCCACUAAAGACUUAUUUGAGGUCAAGUAGUUUAUUGCAAAAUACUUUUCCAAUAGAGUUUUUAAUAAAAGUACUGUUAACUAUUGAAGUGCUUUUCAAUAUAUUAUUUGGAGACAUAGUUCAAUAAAUAAUUAUUGUAUUAGAUAAUAUGUAAUUUGAUUUUCAAAAGUGAUUAUCUCUUUAUUUGGUUCAUAAUAAAGGAUAAAAGGAUUAAAUUUAAUAUUUUAUUUUUAAAUCACAAAAGCUACUCUAAAAGCAUCAAAUUUGAACCUUUGCUAAAAGUGCUUUUAACACUAAGAGCUCUAUUUCUAAUUUUAUGGGAUAAUGUUGAUCAAACACUUUAGAAAUACUUUUAGCAUAUAAAAUUAUUUUUUUUAUCGAAGGCACCGUAACCCCAAAUGGAGCUUAAGAUAUCUUUGACUGAAAAGUAUAAACAAACUUCCUCGAUUUGACAGCAUAUGCAGAAAUAUCUAUAUGCAUUUGCACACGAUCCCCUGCCCACUCUCGCUUUGUGCCAGUUUAAGCACCCUUUUUUCUUUCUUUUUUUUUGGCUUUGCUUCUAUAAUUUAUUUUAGUGAGUUAAUCAUAUAAUCACAGUAUAAUACAAUUAGUAUAUAUGCUCUCAGGUGAUGAACGACCUUAGAACCAAGCAUUCUAGUAAUGUGUUGAACUUAUUUUCACUUCAUUUGAAACCAAGAAACGCUAAACGCCGUGUUUUCAGUUGAAAGAUGUUGAUAAAUAGAGCGGCAAAUUCUUGUAUUUCCGCAAAAGGGAGUGUCUACCAAAAGGUUGAUUGAAUUAUGUUUUGCUUUCAACCUCAACUGUUAGAAAAUUGGAGCGUUUUUUACACAAAGUUGUCUUCUUUUUCUUUUUUAAACAGGAUGAUUUCUUUUCGGAUGACAUAUCGAUUAAGCUACAGUUAGAAACAGAAAAAAGCCUAUGUGAUAUUUAUGCGCCUAAUUCUUCGUUCAACAAUUGAUCAUAUCAAAUUUCUCCAGAAAUAAUUUGACGCCACCUUAUUGGCCAAAGAUUCAUUUGGGGAAGUAGGAUGUGGAUCUCAGAAAAAUGUCAAACUCUUAUUAAAUUUACGAUGUUUUUUUUACAUAUUUUCGUGGGUGGAAAAAAAAAAAAAAGGCAAACACUGCAAUACAUUCUUUUACCAAAAAAUUCCAGAAAAUAGCAAUACGAGCUCUUACAAUAAUUGCAUCCUUCUCUCCAAAAGGAGGUUCUAAGAAAGAAGGGGCGAAGAACCCUAAGGAAAUCUCUCCCUGCUUUUUGUUUUGUUGCUUUCUAGCUAUAUUAGUUUAGCUUACACUUUUUAAGCUUCAUUUCCUAUUUCAUCAUCUCAAACAAUCCUUAUUAGACUUUUCUUUCUUUCCACUUUCUUACUUCUCUCUCCGAUCCCUUUUAGAUUUUGGUAAUAAUCUCUGUCCAUUUCUUCAAGACUGAAAGUUUUGCGUCAUUUUGGCAACUUUAGAGAAACCAUACGAUUCCCCUUCUUAGGAGGACCAUUCUCUACUCAAAAAGCUUCUGAACUUUAGUUCCCAACAUCCUGCUGAUCAUCAGGACCGCAUCAAACCUGCACCAUAUAUCCUCAACAUCUCAAUCUGCUGCUUCAAAUUAAAUUCCACCUCUGCCAAAUCUUAUUAAGAUUUAAGAUCACCAACCCCAUGGCUAAGGGAGUAACCUCAGAACCAGAAAGAAUCGCCAGCUCCAACCUAAACAACAAACCUCGUUACUCAAAGCAACAUACCCCAAGUAGUAGCAGUAAAAUCUCACAAUUUCUUCACUACUCACCAAAGCUCUCUAUUUACCUCCUAGUCACCUUCACCUUCCUCCUCAUUCUCUUCCAAAUCCAAUCCUUGCAGAUCCCAUCGCAGCCCCCGACUACAAACUCCUGGACAUUCAUGCGCAGAUGGCAAAAUGUAAUCAACAACACAAACUUAUCAACUUUAGCCAAGCAAUACUGCGCCCAAGAUCUCGAAUCCACGGCCUCGAAGCUUCGUGACGCGGUCACUUUCCUCCCGCUAAAGGACUUGCGUUACACGAGCUCGGCCCAGCAAGGCCACACGUGGUUCAUGAGCUCCAUGUACGAUACACACGAGGAAGGUGAAGUCCAGUACCAACAAUUCCCAUCAGAGGCAUCAAAAGGAAGACUUUUAUGCCUCAAAGGUCGAGAUACACAUGAGGGUGCAUGGAAUUCCUAUGCGCUUGCAUGGCCUGAUACUCUACCCCACAAUGCCACCCUCCUGAAAGGGGUCACCUUCGUCUCGUACAACCACUACAACUACGACAACAUUUGGCACGGCCUCUCGGCCAUGGUGCCAUUCGUAGCGUGGCAUAUCAAGAACGGUUGUGCAGCGCCGACGCGGUGGGUUUUGUACCACUGGGGUGAGCUGAGGAUGAAAAUGGGGCCCUGGUUGAGGGCUUUAAUGGAAGCUACGUUCGGCGAACCGCUUUAUAUUGAAGGGUUUACUCAUGAUCAGGAGGUAGGAGGGCCUGAUGAUCAUGGUAAUAAUGAUGACGAUGAUGAUGAAAAUCCAUUUUGUUUUGAGGAAGCGGUGGUGAUGAGACACAAUGAAGGUGGGAUGUCGAGGCAGAGGAGAAUUGAGGUGUAUGAUCUGCUGAGGUGCAAGGCUAGGAUUUACUGCAACGUGAGCAUAGAGGGGAGGAAUGCCGAGGUUGAUGAAAAGGCGGGUGUACCGGUGAUUGGAAUGACUAUGUUCAUGAGGACUGGAGCUAGAUCAUUCAGGAAUCCUUCUGCUGUUAUUGCCAUCUUUGAGAAGGAAUGCAACAAGGUUGAGGCCUGCCGAUUCAGGGUUGCUUAUUCCAAUAAUCUCACAUUCUGUGAGCAGGUCGGUCUAUGUAUGCAUUCUUAGUUUAAAUUUUGCGUUAAAUUCUAUUCUUUUGUUGCGAGCAAGGUGUUAGCGUCGUUCAUUUUGCAUUUUUAUGUAUCUAAGGCUACAAUUUUGAUCCCCAUUCAUUUUAACUUGGCAAUCUGAAAAAGAAAAUAAAUGGUUCAUCCUUGUCAUUUUUCAUGGAGCUGCAUGCAAUUUUUGGGAAGUUAAUACUUGUUUGAUGCUAGUAGUCUACGGAAUAAUGCGAACCUGCCGAAUCCAACAUAAUGCUUACUAUAGUGUAGUGGAGUAACGGUGGAAAAUAAUUAGGUGAAGGUGGGACUAUGUGGGCAUCUUGGUACGCGGUUCGACUUUCUUUCCUUGGCAUGCGUUGGUUUUUCCAGUCAUUAUCCAUAUUUAAAAAGAAAAAAAAAAGGAAUCUCUUUCAAUGGAAUAUAUUUGAUUGCCUUGGCUGAAAGUAGUCCCAAUUGGAAUAAAUGGAUCACCUCUUGUUUACCAAAAUUCAGCUGUCCACGUCCUUUUCUUGGUAUAAUUGCAUGCGUAAUUGACAAUCAAAGUAUUCAUGUAUACAUGCAUGGUCAACCCUGCUGUAAAUUGCUGGUAAUAUCUUCAUUUUCCAAUGCAGAGUAAUACUAAAGAACUCCCAUUUGAUUAGUUUUCAAGUUACUCCCCCUCACAUGCGGUUGGCUACCCCAUCCGAAAGCAAAGGAAAUGUAGAAAUAAGUGAUCCCUUUACCAAAUUAUUAAUUUUGGUAGACGAAGCCAGACUUCAAUUUUGUAAUUUCUCAUGACAUGAUCAGUAUUGAUGAUGAUACUUGUAAUUAAAGCCAAUUUCUAAAAUUUUUUUCCUUCUUUGUUCAGGUGAAACUGAUGAGUUCAACAGACAUUUUAAUCUCUCCACAUGGGGCACAAUUAACGAACAUGUUCUUGAUGGAUAGAAACAGCAGCGUCUUGGAAUUCUUCCCCAAAGGAUGGCUAAAACUUGCUGGAGUAGGGCAAUACGUCUACCACUGGAUUGCUAGCUGGUCAGGGAUGAAGCACCAGGGCGCAUGGCGAGACCCUGAUGGCGAAAAAUGUCCCUAUCCCGAAGAUGACAGGCGCUGCAUGUCCAUCUUUAAGAGUGGCCUAAUCGGCCAUAACCAGACCUACUUUUCCGAAUGGGCUAGAAAUGUUCUCGACGAUGUCAAGAUGAGGAAGAUGGAGGAAUUAGCCUGCCUCAUGAAUGAAGAAAAACAGCACCAACACCAAAACUGCUAUUGUUAGUGGAUGUGCCCUUUGCAAUUAUGAAUUAACCAGCUGAACUCUUCUUUUAAUUUAGCUUAUGAUCUCAUGUACUGGUUUUAAUUCAACAAAUUUCCCGGCUUACCAUCAUAGGAGUGCUUGCUCCCUUUCCCCUUGUCCCGUAAACUUUUCAGGUACAUUACUUUCUCAUGAAAUUCAAUACUUUACAUGACAAGAAACAUAAGCUUCUAGAUUGCACUAUUUAUAUAUUAUAGUUUAUCUCUCAAAAAUUUUUGAUUAUAAUAUUAUUGUUCCUUAUCGUUACUUCUUAGUCAUAUUACAGGUUCGACUGUUGGAAUUACUAUUAAUUAGACGACCUUCGUUAUCCUAUGGAGACUCAAUAAUACUUGUUUGGGGGAAAAAAAUUUGGAUUGCCCUUGAAUUUUUAUAGGGGCAACUUUUAGCCCCUCAACUAUUAAAUGAACACUUUUAGCCCUUGAAUUUACAGAAGGGUCAAUUGUUGACCCUUUUUGUCAAUUUAGCUCUGGUUUUGCAACCUGCAAGGCCAUCGCGUGAGACGCAAUCCUCAAAUUUGAAGGGUCUUUUUGUUCGCACAAAAAUUAGAAAUCGAACAAAAACCUCAAAGACCUGAAUCUAGCCCUUAUUCUUCACCUCAUCGUUCUCAUUUGAAGCAAGAAGGAAACGGAUUUGCGAUCGAACAUGGCUAGGUGGACAAAUUGGUAGUGGUGACAGUUCCGAUUCAAAAUGGCUAGGCAGACAAUUUUUUUCUUUUUUUUUUCUAUCUUCUUCUUGUUCUGUCAGAUGGAGAACGAAAUAUACAAAGGCGACAUCGUGUAAGCCCAUUUUUGUUUGAGUUCUUUCUAUGAACAUUUUUUUUUUUUUGUUGUGUGGUUGCAUCAUGAGAGGCCUAACGACAUGAUCUAUAUCUAGAACAAGAUGAGGCCCAGCUACUAACUCAAGGUUGUCUAAAGCUUAUUUCAAGCGUACGCAUGUGGAACUUGUUGCUAUUAACUUGGUGCUCUGAGGUGCCCCAAGCACUGACAGAAACUGGAGUUCUCUGUUGCCCUACAGGGCCUACACCAGUACACCCUCUGCGAAUCAAACAAAAAAGAAAAGACAAGAAAAAAAAUAAUGCCCCAGCAUAUAAUUAAAGUGGAAAAAGAGAAAAAGAAUGCCCAAUCCAUGCUUUGUGAUUCUGUCUGUUUUUACGUUUUUUGACUCGUCCAAACUGAGAAGUAGGGCAUGCAGAAUUGAGAAACCAACCAGACAUCUGUACAUUGAUCCGUGUAAUGGCAAACAUAUGUGUAGACCUUUAUAGGUAGUGCUGUGAAGAAAAGCUAUAUGCUAAUUGGGCCAACUAGACAAGAGGUCUUCUGUUGCUGCGACUGACUAUAUUGAUGGAUAAUUUAUAAGAACUCAUGUAAAUUUAUGAUUACAAAAGUAUGUCUUGAUUUGUAGUUAUCUAUAUGCUAAUUGGGCUAAUUAGACAAAAGAUCUUUUGCUUCUGCUGAGACGGUAUUGAUAGAAGAUUUAUAAGAAUUCCUGUAAAUUCAUGAUUUUGCAGGCUAUAUUCUAAGUCAUACUAGUUACUGUGGAGUAUUUCGAAGAUAUGUCCUAAUUCAUUCAUGGUGAUUACUGUCCUAAAUUGAGGUGUAAAUGCUAAUCGAGCCCAACUGGACAAAAGGUCUUUUGCUGCAACGGCAUUGAUGGACGAUCUCUGUGUUUUUAUAAUUUCAGAGAUAUGUUCUAAUCUGGUGUUGGUGACAGAUGAACUUGUUUCUACGAACAACAUCAUCCAAUCUCGGCUCAAUAUCCUCACACUGCACAGUGCUUUCAUCGUUAUCAUUUGGCAUCCAAUUGGGAUGAUGUUACUGUCCUAGAUUAUACCACCGUCUAUGAAGUAGCGAUUGAGACAGUUUUACAUAUAUAUACAUUUGUAACGUUUAUAGUACCAUUGAACCCCAAAGUAAAAAUAGUACUACUAGUUUCAGGCUUUGUACAAUGAUUAGAGUUGGUCUCGGAACAAGGCCUAUUGAUUAAUAAUGCAAGCAACUCUUGCUGCCCAAGCCAAACGUCGGCGGAGCUUGCACCAGAGCUUCUCCCUACUGAAAAAUCAAAAUCAAUGACGAAAUGAACUAGCACUUACUAACAAACUAAUGUCCAGUAGUAGCUACCAAGUCCUUGUGGAAUUCCACACGUAACAUGGAGGUCCUCAGUGGGCAUGGAAAAAAGGCAAAGAAACACUACCGAUUGUACACUCGAAUAUGAUAUGAACUACACUGCUGAGUUUUGUAAAACCACUUGACAAGAAUUGAAACAAAAGUAACGAAAAGGGUUUACCCAAAAACACUCCACAAGUUGUUCUUCCCAAUUACUAGAAGAAUAGUAAAAGUAAACAAAUCAUUUGAAAAGCUUUGUGUAAGCCUUUGCCGUUCUCAUCUCUGAGCCACAAAAAUCUUUUCUUUGAAUGUUUGGUAACUGUUUAUUGAUGGAUGUCAAAUCACAAUUAGUAGUUGCUUUGUCGAUCUCUCUUUCAUUUAUUUCGGUUUUGUCGAUCACAAUUAGUUUUGGAAUUUCUAGACUUCAGUUUAGAAAAGGUCAAGAGGCAUUCAAGCCACAAUUUCCUUUCCCAAUCUAAUCAACCUUUUCCUGAAACUGUCUUGUGUUUGGGAAACUUCUUCUUUUUUCUUUUUUUUUUUCUCCUCCUUCAUUUUCCUUCUUGGAUAUUUGCUGAAGAUAUAGUAGUUUCACAUCAGAGACAAAUUUUCAUCCAUUUCUUAAUCUUAAUUAAUGUAUGUUGCUUCGAUCCCUGCCCAUGAUGGCUCGCUCUUCGUUCGCUUAUUAAGUAAAGUAAUAAUUCCUUUUUUUCAUCCCAGAAACAUCAAAGGUGGAAAACAAAUAUCAAAUACGGAAUUGAUCGAAAUUAAAAUCUUGUCAACUAGAAUUAUCGUUAGGUCCCACAAACAAGCCUUAUCCCUAAUUCACCACCAAUAUUGUCCGGUUGGAGGCAUACGUUAUUGUAGGUUCUGCGCUUUGCCACUCUCGCUUUCCUCCGGUUGUUAUGAUAAAAAAACUAAUAAAUUUUAGCAGCAAUCAGAACAUAGGAACGAACAGAGCCUUGAAUUUAACUACACUUCAUGAUACGAAUAUUUAUCAUAAUUCCAAAAAUUCAUCACCAUACAAAGUUUACUAAGAUGGUGAAUGUCAAUACAUUUAAAAUUCUCUCUCUUUUGGUUAAAAAAAAUUUAAGUGGUUUCGACUCUAAUCAUCACCAGGGAUCAGAAUGUGCCCUCAAAAUCAUAAAUCACUUGCACAGAAAUUUUAUAAAUCACAUGCAUUUAACUGCAACACAAAUUUUUGAAUAUUCAUCAUCAUUUGUGGACAUAAAUGACCUAAUAUUCACUAGCCCACUAUUUUUGUACACCUUAAAAUGGGGCAAGUUGAGAAUGUCAAUCAGCCCCUUUAUUCUGAAUUCUUUCAAAUCUCCCCAAAUAAGAUUCGAACCUACGACCAAUCGGUUAACAGCCCAUCGCUCUACCACUAAACUACUAAGCAACAAUGGGAGAUUAGAUUUCAUAGAGUUCAAUUCCUGUUCUCAACCCAUGACCAAUAUGAGUAAGAAGCUUUCUUUGUAACCCCCAAAACUUCUUCGUAAUGGCUCCUUUCCAUGCCUCAUUUCAGACAAAAACUCAAAGUGGCUCUAUUUCAUUUUAUUCCAUCCAUACCCAAUUCCAUUCAUUUAAUAUCCCUUUGGUGUCAUUGACAUAACAGAUGUCGUUUCUAGUUUAAAUUUCUUUUCUAUAUAUGGACAAUUAAAAAAUCAUCAUCUAAUAAUCCAAAAAUUGCAAUAGAAAAGAAAUAAGGGAGGUUUGUGAUGAUUUUUCAAUCUUUUUCACUAGGUAAUCUAGUAUUCUUAUGCAUGAAAAUAAUCAACUCGGUCAAUUAUGUACAUUCAAUCUCGAAGAGAUUCUUCCUAGACCUCCAUGACACGCAUGGUGUCUGACAUAAUUUUUUUCAAUGUAUAUGUGAAAGUUACAAAUCUAUUAGAAAAAGUUUUGAUCGGAGGAAAAGCUAUGUAGGAAAGUGAAGUAAAGAAAAGUGAAAAUCAAUUUUUUUGUAUGUUUAUUUGACGAAAAAUACUUUGAGAGGACGUGAUUAGUUAGUAAUAGUUUCUAAAAAUAUUUGAACGUGUUUGGAUAAUGAAUGAUUAUUUGAAAUAAUUUUUUCAAAAAAAUAUUAUAACACUUUUUUACGUGAUAUAUGUAAAAUAAAAAAAAUAAUUAAAAAAAUGUGUUCAUGAUUUUGCAUGAUACAAAACAUAAGAAAGCACAAACAGAGAAGGUAGAAAAGUGGAAGAAAUGGCAGGAAAAUUUUGCGGCUAUCUUGAUAUAAACACACACACACACACAGUGAGAAAAAAAAAUUAGCUAAUAAUAUUUCGCUUAAUUUGUUUGGAUAGUGAACUUAUCCCAAAUAAUAUUUCGCUUGCAUCAUAAACACAUUUUCCAACCCACUUUUUUAUAUUUCCAACUACUUUUUGUCUCACAUACAUCACAUCACAAAAAGUACUACAGUAAUUAUUCCAAAUAAUAUUUCAAAUAAUACCCUAUCCAAACAAUAUAAUCCUACACUUUUCCAUACUUCUGCUCACACACAAACGGUAGCUUAAAGAAUCAAGUCAUGAACAGAAAUUUAUACCAUUUGUGCACAGUCACCACUUUUAUCACAUAGAGAAGCGCCCAUCAGGGCAAAAUCAGUUAAAACGAGAAGUCAAGAGAGGAUUAUCCUAUAUAAAGUCUCCUUUUUCUGAUCCCAUUCCAUGAACAGACAACAAAAAUCCCCUAAUGUAUGGGAUGGGGACAAUUCCUUGACGAGAAGAAUGCAGGUUAGUGGCAGGACAGAGAUAUUAGGCGGCUUUUGAUUAGAGUAUUGAGAGGGGUGAUGGUCAUUAAUGCAAAGGGAUGGUGCUGGAUAGGGCUCAUCAAUUCUGACAGUGGCCGAUAAAUGUGUUGAAGACCCCAUUGGCGGGGACUUGCAUAAGUUCAAUCUUUUCCACAGCGUCCGUCACCGCAAGCCAACUUGUGCAACUCAGGGACCCAUUCACCAGCUUUCUCGAUGGUACAACCAUAAUUCCAGAUGCUGUAAUACCAUCAAAUCAGCUCAAGGCGCAUUGGAAAUGCACUGCACCCCAGGACAAAUGUUUGAAAUGAUUGAAGCACCCAUUAAUGUCUGAUCUGGAAAUUAUGGACCAACUAAUAUAUAAUUCUUCUCCAAUUACCUUAGCAUGUCAGCGGAGGAAUUCUUGUGGCACAAAAUUGCCAAGUAGUGCUGUCAAAGAUGCUUCACUUGACUUCCUGUUAAAAACUUUUUAACUUUUGGGAACGGGACAGUUCAAAUGUCUGGGAAUGGUUCUGUGUAGGGGUGUGCAAAAUCGAAAAAUUCCGAUUUAUCGACUGAAUUCGAAUUGAAUUCGGAAUUUUCGAAAUUGGUAAAUCGGAAAUCGGAAUCGAAUUCGGAUUAUCCGAAUUCAUAUAUUUCGAAUUUGGUUCGAAUUCGGUAAUGGAGUUUUUCAAAUCGGAAUUUCCGAUUUCGAAUUCACAAUUCGAAAUCGGAAUUCGAAUUCCGAUUUCGAUUUCAAAUUCGUUUUUAAUAUAUAAAUAUAUUUUUUAUACAUGUAAUAUAAAAUUUAUACUAUAUAAUAUUAUAUAAAAUUUAUAUAAUAUAAUAUAAUAUAAUAUAAAAUUUAUAAAAUUUAUAUAUUAUUAUAUAUUAUUAUAAAUUUUAUAUUAUAUAAUAAUAUAUAAAUUUUUCCGAAUUCGGUGAAAUCGGUGAAAUCGGAAUUUACCGAAUUCCGAAUUGAAUUCGGUACGAAUUCGAAUUCGGAAUUGGUGAAUUCGAAAUCGAAUUCGGUCGAAUUACCAGGUACCAAAAUUUCGAAAAAUUCCGAAUUCAAACUUCCGAAUUACCGAAUUCGAUGCACACCCCUAGUUCUGUGUAUUGAAAAUAAUGUAAAUCUUUUGUUUAAUACUAUUAUAAAAAAUCUUUUGUUCAACUAUGCAAACUAAUUUGAAUACAAUACAAGCAUAGAACAAUUUUUGGUGGACACCACAAGAUCGAGGCAUUUCCAUUUUUUUUUUUUGGAUAAUCAUAGAAUUGCUACUUACGUUCAUUCCUGUUCUUCUCCCCUAAUUUUUGAUAGAUACUAAAAGCUAAUGAACUGUACCAUUUGUGUUAAAACAGAUUGCAGAGGCUUAUAUAAUUGCAGAUUGGAUCAUAUGGUGUAGUUAACAGCGGCAGUGUGAAGUUUCAUCAUCGUUUUUCCUAACUUCAUUAUUGUAUUUUCUUUCUUUUUUCGUUUGGAAUACUUGUAUCCUGUGAAUAGGGGUCUCUAGGGUUUUAUUUUACAGUUUUUGACAAUAUGAUUAACACAAUUGUAUUGGGUCUAUAUAUAGUUGUUCUUGAGUGUUUUCAUUCUGGAUUGAAUUUUGAUUUUCCUUAGGGUUGAUCAUAAAUCACCCUUGAUUCUUUAUUAUUAUGGAAUUAGUUCAUGAAACUGGUUCUCUUAAAUUGCUUCUGCCGUCGCAUCAGUUGACAUCCUCGUGCAGUACAUAUCUUGUGUAAUGUUUCACCAUAAUUUGGAUCAUCACAAAGAAUGGAAUAGAUGUGUCAGGAGAGUGGCUCAUGAUCGCGUUCUUAUUCAAUGUGGUUCACAUCAAGUCGUCAUUUUCUUUUCGGAUGAUGAGACUAGACGAAUUUUGCCACGAUUAACCCUAACCCUAGGGAUCUGUGUAUAUAGUUCAUUAUAAUCUUUUUGUGAAGAGAAAAUGAGACUUGUUUUGAUAGUGCAAAUUGCUGAAGUUGUUGAAUUUUGGAAUUUUCAAGGAUGUGAAAUUCUAUUCAUAAUUGGAUACAAAGGGUUCCAUCACAAGUAUCGACUCUAAAAAUUAUAUGAAAAAGUUGCUGGUGUAUUUUCACUUUUGAAUAUUGCGUUCUUCAUUAUGAACUUGGGGUUGAGUUCUUUUGAGAUGGAGAGAUUGAUUGUAGAAGCCCUCUGCUUUAUCCUCAAAAACUGCAAGAGAGCAGCUAGCCUUUCCACCUUGUUGCAUUCUGCCAAAUUCUUUUGCUUUGCAAGUACUCCUUUUUAGCCUUAUCCACCCGGCUGUCACUGCUGAAUCUUCCAAAGGUGAAAGACAAUAACCGCUGCUAUAUAUUUCGUCAUCCUAUUUGGUGACUCUCUAUUUCUCCUGCGUUGGUGCAACUUAACACUAAUAACUCUCCAUUAGUCAAAAAAAAUCCAGACAUCAAAAUGAUCAAAACUUCAUCAAUCUGACCAUAGAUAGAUGCGCCUUGCUAAUCUUCAGAUCGUAAUAAUUGGCAUGAAAAUGAAAGCUUGCUAACGUAUUAUCAGUUUGAAUAGUACGGCCUAUUGCUCAUCAAAUUAUUAUACCCCACACUUCCCGAAGAAACAAAAAGAAUAAAUGGAGCUUUCGAACGUAAAAACAGGGAAGGCUGACUCGAGAAUUAAAAAAGAGUUUGCUUAAAGACUUGUUAUUUCUUUGAGAUAUUUUUUGGGUUACGUAGAUAUAUUUACCCUGAGGUCGAAGGUGGUCCGGUCCAUUUAGUUGCAUUACAUCCAAAUUCCAAAUUUCAUCAAGAUGCAAAAUUCCCUAUCAUACUUGCUAAUCAGAAGAAUAGUUCGAUGCUGAAAGAAAAUCCCUGCACAGUCCUGAAUGUUUGUAAAAGGGGCGAUUAAAGAACUCUUGAAACAGUAGCUCAAAAAAUGUUAAAAAAUCAGUGAGAGCACACAACCUCAAAGUCUCCCACUCUGGCUACUUGGAGAAAGUAUAUCCAUAUAUUAGAGAUCAAAUCAAGAAAUCAAGUGCUCCAAAAACAUUAGUUGUCAGCCCAUCGCAACCCAGCCUGUAGGACUCAUUUGGAAAUCAGUGAAGAAGCCGACAAUUGGAGAUAGUUCCAAGCAUCCCCAUGUGGGAUACCUUUUUUGGCUCAUUGAUGCAGCUUCUCUAGCUACUUGUUCUGUUUUGUUGUUCAUCUCACUUUCUCUGCUCUUCAUCUGAAGUAAGGCACUUAACUCUAAAAUUCAAUCUGAAGUUUCUGAGCUUCUUCAACUCACCAUGUGGGACGCGGAAAGCGAGACCGGAGGAGGGCGAGAUUACAGCAAUGGAGUUCUCAGCAUAAGCAAGCAUGGACUUAAAACCGAUGGUUUUGAGCAAAGAGGCCAGUCUUGGUAUGUUUCUCUGAGAUUUGUUCAGCAUUGCUUGGAUCUUUAUUUUUGCAUUUUCAUCUUCAAGUUAAUCAUCCUGUGAAACCCUCGAGUGAGUGAGUAUCUUUAGGAGAAGAUGCAUAAAUUGAAAGCGUAAACUUUCUGUGGUGAAGCUCGUAUCUCUUUCUUGGAAUAUCAUUGAUGUUAAAGCAAGUUACUUAUAAUGUUUGGUGUGCUUGUCCUGUAAAUAGGUAUGUUGCAACUGAUAUCCCAAGUGACUUUUUAGUUCAAAUUGGAGAUGUUAAUUUCCAUUUACAUAAGGUAGCUGCCAUCCUAUUCUAACAUUUUUCUCAUUUCUCAACUUGUGUACAUAGAAUUACUAAUAACGGUUGUAAAAGGGUUGGGGUUAGAUGAUAUACUAAUUCUUUCUCUCGUCUCUCAAGUAUCCUCUGCUUUCUAGAAGUGGCAAGUUGAACAGAAUCAUAUAUGAAUCACGGGAAGACCUGAACAAGAUAGUUUUAGAUGACCUCCCAGGUGGACCUGAGGCUUUUGAGCUUGCAGCAAAAUUUUGCUAUGGGAUUGCUGUUGAUCUGACAGCAAACAAUAUCUCUGGCCUUAGAUGUGCAGCAGAGUACCUGGAAAUGACAGAGGACUUAGAAGAAGGCAAUCUAAUAUUCAAGACAGAAGCUUUUCUCAGCUACGUGGUUUUGUCAUCAUGGAGAGAUUCUAUACUAGUACUUAAAAAUAGUGAGAAGCUGUCGCCAUGGGCAGAGAACCUUCAAAUUGUCAGAAGAUGCAGCGAGUCCAUUGCUUGGAAAGCUUGUGCUAAUCCAAAAGGAAUAAGAUGGCAAUAUACAGGGAGGCCCCCAAAAGUAUCUAGCCCUAGUUGGAAUGAAAUGAAGGAUUCCAGUCCAAGCAGAAACCAACAAGUGCCACCUGAUUGGUGGUUUGAAGAUGUUUCGAUUCUCAGGAUUGAUCACUUUGUACGUGUUAUUACUGCUAUUAAGGUAAAGGGGAUGAGACAUGAACUAAUUGGAGCUGCAAUAAUGCAUUACGCAGCUAAAUGGCUUCCAGGACUAAUAACGGAGGGAUCAGCAGCAGCUGAUGAGGGAAGCAAUUACAGCCACGCUAAUGACAUAAACAGAAGUUGGAAAGGGGGGCUCCAUAUGAUUGUAGCUGGGACAAAAGAAGAUAUACCAACUGUUCAGGCUAAGGAUCAAAGAAUGAUUAUUGAGAGCCUUAUUAGCUUAAUACCUCCCCAGAAGGACAGUGUUUCCUGUAGCUUCCUUCUUCGACUGUUGAGAAUGGCAAACUUGUUGAAAGUAGCUGCUGCUCUGGUUACUGAAUUGGAAAAGAGGGUAGGCAUGCAGUUUGAACAGGCUACAUUGGCAGAUCUUCUCAUUCCUUCAUACAACAAGAGUGAAACUUUAUACGAUGUUGAUCUAGUUCAAAGACUACUGGAGCAUUUCCUUGUCCAAGAGCAGACAGAAAGUUCAAGUCCUAGCAGACAAUCAUUUGCUGAAGCACCCCAAAGGGGUACAAAUCCAAAUGCUAAGAUGAGAGUGGCAAGGCUGGUUGACAGUUAUCUAACAGAGGUGUCCAGAGAUAGAAAUCUCUCCCUAACGAAAUUUCAGGUCUUGGCAGAAGCUCUACCUGAUUCAGCAAGAACCUGUGAUGAUGGACUAUAUAGAGCUGUUGAUUCCUACCUGAAGGUAAUUGAAAUUUAAUUUCCGCGAUUUUCUAAAGUAACUAUAUUAUUCAUUGAUUUUCUGUGAGGAGAUCUGUUCAUCACCAAUAUAUGGUGUUAAAACAGGUUGGUCCUCGAGCUGACGAGCUCCUCAAAAUAAAAUAUUUGUGUGCAAUGCGCAAGCAAAUAUGGUCUUUUUAUAAAGCAUGCAUCCGUUAAGAAUUAUGUUAAAUGGAUAAGUAUAGAAGGAAGACAGGGCCAGAGAAUAGUUGCAAAAUCUUUAAAUUCUAAGUUAAAACAAACGUCAAUAUUUAUCAUGCAUUGUGAAGAUCAAAGAGAAGAAUUUCAGAUGAAAAAAUUUACAACUUACAACACAAAAUUAGAAGUUAUGAACGAGUCACUAUGUGCCUUCAUAAUAAUGCUCAAUAUGCCGUUUACAUAUAUUUGUUUCAAAUAUUGCAUAUAAUGAAGCUCAUCCAAAUAGUUAGUUUACUUGGAAUCUAACGCAUUGAAGCAUUGAUAGGCCCAUCCAACACUAUCAGAGCAUGAAAGGAAGAGGCUUUGCCGUGUAAUGGAUUGCCAGAAGCUCUCAAUUGAUGCAUGCAUGCAUGCUGCUCAGAAUGAACGGCUUCCUCUAAGAGUAGUAGUGCAAGUUCUCUUCUCUGAACAGGUGAAGAUAAGCAAUGCAAUAGCUAGUAGCUCCCUCAAGGAAGCUGGAGAAUCCCACUACCAGCCAAUGGUGUCAACCCGUAAGACAUUGCUUGAAGGGACGCCACAGUCAUUUCAAGAAGGAUGGGCAACUGCCAAGAAGGACAUCAACACUCUCAAGUUUGAGCUUGAAACAGUCAAGGCUAAGUACUUGGAACUCCAAAACGACUUUGAAACCUUACAGAGACAGUUCGAUAAGAUGGCUAAGCCAAAGCAAACUUUCGCAUGGACCUCAGGGUGGAAAAAGCUAGGCAAGCUCACCAAGAUGUCAAAUUUGGAAAACCAUGAUGAUGGACCCCAGAUUUCGAAUCCAGAACAACCUAAAAAGGCACCUAGAAGGUGGAGAAAUUCCGUUUCUUGAGAACUAAGGAAGUGAAGAAGUAAGAUAUUUCCUGAUAAACUUGAUCCCCCUAUAUUUCAUUUUUGUAUUCCUAUAGCUGUAGUCGUCUUUCUUUUUUUUCCUCUUAUUAGGAGUACUCCAAAGGUUCCCUUCUUCUUCACAGGAAUUAUCUUAGGAACUUUCACAUUUGAUCCUUCUGUCUUUGGGUGAGUGGUUGUGGUGCAAUUGCCAUGUUUGUUUGAGUGUGUUCUGCAUUAUGAUUUAGUUGCACGAGUGGAACAUCUUUAUCAUUUUUCCCGCAAAAGCACAUUACAUGUUUUCAAUGAAUCGACUUUGGAUGUAUCAAGAAAAAGUUCAGGCUGAAAAGGUCUUGAAAAUUCUCAGGUUCAAUUUGUAUCUUUCAUUCCAUUGAUGUGGAGCAUAUAAGCAAUUGGGCAAGCAUACACUGGGACCUGGAUGGAUUGGAAAAAGGAUUAUCAGGGGCAUUAUCUCUCUCUCUCUCUCUCUCCAUGUAGGUUGUCAUAGUUGUUGUCCAGUUUUUCCAUAAGACCAAGUAUUCGAUCUUGCACACAAAAUUGCAGAGAAGGAACAAUUCAUCAGCUUAGUGUUUUGUUUCUUCCUACCCUUCCUGAAUAUCAAUGGAACACUAAUUGUAUAUCAUGAGAAUAGUUCAAAGCCAGACAAAGUUGUUAGGGUAUCAUACAGUAUCCAAGAAACUAAUAUAUUGGAGACAGUCCUACCGUAAUGCCGAAGUCAGCACGCAGAAUAUCAAUUACCAUUCACUAAAUUAAGCAUGGACAUAUCCAUAUGAAUGGAUCUUACGCUUACAGAUACUUGUUACUUUGACUUUUAAUACGAAUCAGCACAUGCCUUGGCACUAAGAAUUUGCUGAAGACACAAAAUCCUGUAUAGUAAACCAAACAAUACGAGAAAGAUAAAUGAGUUAUCUGGCUGAGUAAUCAAUCUGAAAUUUGUAAAUAUUCCUCCGGUUUUCUUUUUCAUAAAUCAGCAAGCAUUGAAUAUCCCAACUCAAGUGAAGAGACCAAAGGACAAGACGAGUAGAACCAAUCAAACUACCUUAUAGACAACUUCGACCCUCGUUUUCUUUGGGGGUUUUUGGUAGCUCCUUUGGGCCCCAACGGCUAUCCAUUUGGAUGCUGUUCUCUGGCUUUUAGCCGGGCCGAAUCUGCAUUGGAAGCACAGCGAUCAACUAAUCAUGUGCGUGGACAAUUAUGGAAAACCCAAAAAAGUGAAUAAAAUCACUUCUUCUUUUUUUGGCCCCUUCACCCUUGUGGAGAUACUACUGUAAAGUUGGUAAAAUGCAAAUACUCUAAUUAAAAGGUAGAAGUAACAAUUGACAAAAGAAUGCUUCUUUACCAUGCUUGGCUGGCUACCUCAUUAGGUUGGUAGUAGCACGGCCGUGCUCUAACUCUAUAGAACGGUAAGUACAAUUCUUUGCAGCGAGAACUGAAAAAGAGAAAGAACGGCCGUGCUCUUCUCUUCUCUUCUCUUGAUGGGCUUCGACUCUGAUUUCCCCACAACCCUCCUUCGUAGGGAAAAUUUUCGACUACGAAUUCCUUAUAAACCGUUGGAUUUCCCUUUUCCUUCUCAAGGUUCAACUCUCUCAUUUUGACAACUAUUUGUACCCUCCCCUACAUACACACACUCGCAAGUCUUCUCUCUUCAAUGGAAAUCACGCAGUCCAGAAAAAUGUCGUCCAACUCCUCCCACAGCAGCAAGGGUCCUUUGAUUUGGUUAUCCUCUCUAAUGUAGCAAUCAAAUCAAAUACAGCACAGUUUAGCAGUGGGUUAAUGUUGGAAAUAUCAAUUUAAGUUGAAUUAUAGCAUAGCAAGACCGAAAAGCACUGCUGUCAAAGGGGAAAAAUAAUAAUAACAAACAACAGGCAGCGGCCAAAAGUCAUAAUCCAAACAGAUAGGCAGUACAUAACCAGGAUUACAUUGCAAUAUCCACCCAAAACAAUUGUUGUACUCGACCAAACAUACAAAUAAAAUCCUGCAUUAAAGAUUGAUGCCCACGUGCUCAUGAAGACGGCCUACAGGAGACUCUUCUUUGCAGCAAAGCACAAAUCCUCUGCACAGCUCACUAAAGAAACAUACUAGCACUAGCCUUUUAAGACAAGAUUUGGUCAUGGAUGAGCAUCAGACAUUCAUGAUGAAUCUUCCGGGCCCCCCUUUCUACUCUCAGCUCUCUUCAUUGCUGCUUCAGCCCAACAUCUUAGCUGCUUCUUUGAAAGCCACAUAAGGGGAAAAAAAUAACAAAGCUUAGAAUCAAGAAAACAAGAUGGAGGUGAAGAGUGGAAGGUGGGACCCAAAUUAGCAAAUGCGCGUGCACUUAAUCCAUUGUGUUUUCAACAUGUUGGCAAAAGAGGUCCUCAUUUACAGCACAGCCCACCUCUCUGCCUAGACCAUGCGUUCAAAAUUCUGGCUAUUUUCAAUCCCGAAAGCAUAUGAACAAUCAUUUCUACCCGGCAAUUAUAGCCCCAGUUUUCUUCACCUCCUGUAAGCAAAGAUAAAAUUUUCACACCUCAUUAAGCUUUUCCUCUAUUGGCUUUUAAAGCAAACUGCACUAUAGCUUUAACAAGAUCACAAAAGCUUCACACAGCAAAAACCACCUAUCCAUCACUUUCAGUCAAAAAAGACAAGAUCAACUUAUCCCUUGAUCGUACUGCCUCAGUAAAAAAGCACCCGAAAUGUACUACUGUUGACGGGAGCACUGCACUUCAGGGAGGCCAAGCUCCAAAGCUUCAGCUUUCUCCCUCAAUGAUAUCAAGUAAUUUAUUGCAUCAUCAAUGAUCAAGAUUGGAUCUUUAUUCUCUGCUCCAGGAACUAUACUUUCAAGAAUUCUCAACGUCUUGCAAAUUUUGGCCCGCUUUUGCGUUGUGUUGAUAUUGGAGUCCAUCUCCUCAUUGAGGUCCCCACCUUUGGCACAAUUUGUCUCCACAUGGUUAUCAUCAUUGCAAAAUUUAGCCAAUUUCAAUGGAUCUGCAGUGUCCACUAACGAUGAUUUCUUGUAACCACCAUCAAGCAAUUUAUGCCUUUUAGUUGAACCAUCAGUGCUACCAACUUCCUCAGUAAGUUCCCAAACCUUCUCAUGCAUCUCGAUGCCACCUAUGAUUGUAAAAGGUGAAUGCCCGGUGCUAGUCAGGUCAUCAUCUUCACCAUCAACAUCAUCAUCAUUCCCAGGGAAGCUAUCAGAGUAGAGCAACGCAUUGAUUUCUUCUGUGUCCUCACGCAUGUCACCUCCUUCACUCUUUACAUGGUGCUCAGUAUGCGGAGGAGGCUUCAUUAUCUGUGAUUGUCCUGCUUCACCUUGCAAAUCGUGAAAAUCAACUGGUGUCAUGGGCAUGAUAAUCUGAUCUUGGUAAGGUGAACGAAAAGAUCUCGAGAUCAAUCUAACUUGAUCCCCAGAUUGAUCAAAAAUGAGAAACUUCUUAUGAGCGGAUGCAGAUACAUCCUUGAAUGUAGGUUCGACACCAUGUCCAUGACCAAAAGCACGUUGAGAUUCUUCAAAAUGUGGAGCUGCUGUGGGAGACGAGCUCUCCUUUUGAGGAGGCAACCAUUGGAAAGGUCCCCGACCUCCAUCAAGUUGGCCCGUUUUAAAAUGAAGAAGCCCAAAAGCUGAAGUCCCUGUAUCUGGAACUGCAGUACUGUCAUUUGAGCGAGGAGAAUUCCACAGAUAAUGGUGCUGAGAAUGCUGAAAAUCGUAGGCUGUAAACAUCCAGCUAAUUCAAUAAUCUGAGACAUAAAAUUGCCAGAUUUUAGAAAAUUCCAAGCAAUAAAUGGCAAUGGAGAUGAACAGCAGCAAGAUGUCAAAAACCAUACCAGAAAACUGAUUGUAAUGAAUCUUCAACGUCCACACUUUUAGAAACCAAAAUAAUGAAUCAAAAUAUUCAAACUCCAGCCUCACGUACUAUUGAAAAAGUAAUAUCAAUCUACGUAACUGGUUUAAGCAAGUGACGGAAGUACUCAGCCUACAGAAAUCCAAAAGGAAACAAGUAGGAUUUAGUAACUUCUCCAUCAUUAUCAAGUACAGAGAAAAACCUGCCACAUUAAGAAAACACAAAUCCAAAGAGAAAACAUAAAGGGUAAAGAGACUACAACUUGAAAAGCGUUAGCAAGCACCCUAACACAAUCUUGAACCAACCUGACAAUUUUGCAAAGGUUGAAAGCAUGCUAUCACCCUAACUACAAUGGUUGGUGUCCCUGCUAUGCCAUUUUCAUGUUUUAAAGCCCGGAAUCUUGUCUGGCUUGCUGCUUGGCACACCAUAACUUCUUUUGCACCUUGAAUCAGUUUCAAAAUCUACACAAGACUACGACAAUAGAAAUAGAAAUCUAGAACAAAAGAUAGGACCAAAGCAAAAAGAAAAGAUAAGAAAACGAGGAGUGUACCAAAUCUGAAGGAACUACAAGAUGUACUGGCAAGAGACGAGGUGUCAGAGGAAUGAACUUAAAACUGCUUAAGACCAUAAAUAAUUCUCAGCUGAUCAUAUAGAUAUAACAAGCAAUGAAAGAGAAGUGAUUGGACCCCAUUGAAAUCUUGUUAAACGAGAUCAAAAGAAUCAAGAGGUAAUUAUGGUUUAAUAAAGACAACUGGGAUCAUUUACAGAAUAACCCUACAACACAAAUUCAAGGAGAUAACUUGACGAAACACAUCAAUGGACAAACUAAUCCACCGCAUAUUGUUCACUUAUAGGUGAGAUCAAUAUAGCCUCAGCAGUAGUGCGACAUGCCCGUUACCUGCAAUAUAUAAAUGAUCAACAAACAUAAGAACAGCAGUAUUCAAGUAGAGUGGGAUAAACAUAAUGGAUUCUUAUGAUCCUCAGACUAGUACGCAUGCCUUUCACAUAUAAGCAAGAAAGAACAUUAACUAAUAUGGCAUUGGAAGUUGAAUUUCCCUAUUUAUGUGCAUGAAAAUGAAGUAUAACGCUGAAGAAUUAGAAAAACUAGGAAAAGGAAAGGGAACAAGAAAAAGAAAAAGAAAAAAGAAAUUUAGCCUACAUGGCACUAUUUAAUUUCUUUAUUUCCAUGAAACAGCUCAAAGAACUCAGGUAAGUAACAGUGAACUUAGUAAUCGAGGAAAGAAACAUAACCCAUGAAAUCAUUGAACUUUCAAUUCAUAAUUAAUCGUAGGACAUAAGGAGAAAAGAUCGACCAGAGACACUUCGAUAAAAGAAAAAAAAUAAAAAUCCCAUCUUUAUUGUUAAGCCUACAAGCAUUUCACUCAUGUACUAAGAAAAGCUGGCUAAGCAAACGUACUUCGGACUUAUGGACAAGAAUUACUUUUUUUCGGACAAAAGACCCAAAAAAAUAAAUAAAAAGACGAGGACUUUAUGAAUUGACCGAUCAAGAAUUCAGGAUACUGAUCAAGAAUUCAGGAUUUAAGGAUUAAACAAGACAAAAAUGAACCGGUGGAAAAUCCGACCAGUAAAAAAGGUUAAUACAGUUGGAAAAAGGACUUACACAAGGAAAGAUCCAAAAGAACAAAUGGAUCGUGCCCGCCAGAUAGAGAGCGCUUGAGUGGAGAGAAAGAACAUGAAGUGAACAGUUGAGCGGAACGCCGGAGAAAAUUUGUCUGAGUGGGGGAAGAACGGGGGAACUGGAAUAUAUAGUGAUAGUGCAUAAGAAAUUUUAGGACGGUUUUACCCCUUUCCUGCUUCUACUUUGUCUCAUCUAUUGGCACUUGUCGUUCAUUGGAAGUUUUUAGCUGCUUAAUUCAAUUGUUUAGGCGCACGCUUAUUAAGUGUGUUUUUAACUUUUUAUACGUUAUGUAAUUUUGAAUUUUUGCAACAUAUUCGUUUAAAAUCUAUGAUAAAAUGGUUAAGUUAAUUUUCUUAUUUUUAAAACAUCAAAGUUACUAAUUUUGAGUUUGUACUAAAGGUGUUUUACAAAGGCUCUGUUUGUUUUGAGGGAAUAAAAGUGAAAGGAAAGGAAAAGAAAUAGAGAAAUAAGAUUUGUCAUGUUUGGAGUAGUAUUUGAGGAGGGAAGGGAAAGAAUAAGGAGGACAAGAGAGGGGUAAGAACUUGUUAAUCUUUAUUUGAUUGGCUUUCGAUCUAGAAGUAAGCAAAAUUGGAAAGAAAGGAAACCAACAAAAAGAUUAAUAAAACAUUUAAAAUUCUCUUUAGAUAAAAACCUGCCUUUUACAGAUUUGGCUUUGAAAUGGAUAAAAGCAUAACUACAACCUAAUGGUUUCCUUUUCCUUCUCUAAUCCAAACAGCAUUCAAGAUUGAUGGAAUGAAAGACUUUACUCCCUUACUCAAUUUAACAAAUGAUAGUUAGUCAUCAAACACUAGUUGUAACCUAAUAAAUAAGUUGAAAGCCGAGGAGUAGACUCAUCUUUGUACACGGGUAACACUUGCAGGUAUGAUUGUUAACGUUUGGAAUCCAACCAAAUGUAAAGCCAUUUAUGUUUUGUUGCUUUAAAUGAGCUGCAACUUCAAAUGAAUACGGAUUGCGGGGCAAAAAGUACCGAAAUUUCCCUGAAAAUGGAGAUGCUUCUAGCUGAAAAUAUGAAAUAAUCAGUGGUUUGGUUCAAAUUGUUGCACACCACAUGACAUGCAUCAAAAUCUGAUUUUCAUAAUUUUCGUCGAUCAUGUCAAAAUGUUGAGGUAUUUUGACCAAUCAUGGAAGAUUGUUCCUUUUACCCACUUUUACCCACUACCACAGAUGAUUUAGAUCCGAGCUCACAGCUGGAAAACAAAAGUCGUAUGAAAACGUUGUAGUACUACUAUAAAGCGAUUAGGAAACCAUAAUAUCCAUUUUUAAUCUGAGAGAGAGAGAGAGAGAGAGAGAGGGAGGAGAGGAGGCUGCAAUUUCGGCACCAGUUACAGAGUAACACCCACUGCUAAAGCAUUCUACAUCGGGCGGCAGGCUGAAGAGCUCGAAGCCUUUUUAUUCAGAUAAAAAUACAAACUAUAAUUAACUAACACCCACUGCUGAAGGACUCUACAUCAGAUGUCUACCAUCGGCCACCCGCAGCAUCAGAGCCACUAAUUACUGAACACCCAAUACUUCAAUCUCGAAAACCAGAACAGAGUUAGGCUCAAUGCCCCAUGCUGGGAAACCACUAGGACCAUAACCAUAGUCGGGGGAACACUGCAUAAAUUUGGAACAAUUUAUGCAAGGAAAAAACAGUCACCAUACUGCAUUGAAAUUCAGACUGGGUAAAACAAUUUAAAAUGGUUUUAAGAGAAAAUGUUUGGUUAACAAAUGCCUAGUGAACACUCGUUAAAUAGGAGAUCUUAGGUGCUACUUUUGUUGCAAAACCGUAGUUAAUUUGGAGACAGGGAGAUAGAUUAUGGAAUGUUAGAAGCCUAUAGAUCCUAAGGCACUCAUCCAAAACCAACAAUAAAUGGACAAAUUUACUUAUUUUGUCCAAAGCAAAUUUAUUGGCUCAAACCCACAAAGAUAGCAGUACCACAGCCUCUUCUGUUAUUCGUUCCCAAGAUACCUACCGUUCUCAACACUUCCAUGAUCAGCCUUUCUAAUGGCUCUAUUAGCUCAAAAUUAUGAGCAGAAGAUAUUAGCAAUGGUGCAUCUGGUAGUCAGCUUGGAGGCUACAAAACCGUCUUUUAAAAGGUUUCUCCUUUUUCUCUAUUCUUGUCUUACUAUAAUAUCCCAGAUAUUCAGCUUUGCUCUACCAGACACACAUCAUAACAUCCUCAUUCAUAGCUGCUUUUUUUUUUUACAAGGUGUUCUUAGCAAAUGACAUUUAUUUACUAGUAAAAAGCUAAGCAAGAAACAACUCAGGUCUAUGAUUUUACCGUUAAGCGCGCAACUUCUCCCACUUGCAUUCCAAGUACACCUUCAUCCCAUCCUGCAUAGGAGAGAACAAGCAAGGCAACUAAGGAAAAAGCUAAAAUUCUUGGAUGAAGCAAUUCAAUACAUUGUGCCUAAGAUAGAUGACAUCAACUCUUCUGUCAUAUAGGACAACCAACAUUACUUGGAAUAAUCAGAAGAUUGCCGCAACAUGGAAUGAAUUUAUCAUUCCAAAUUGGUGUGUCAGAGCAAUCUUUCAGCCAGGCAAGGAAGAAACACUAAAAUCUGUUUGGGUGACAAAGCUAAUCUCAACAUAAAGAACUCCCCAUCCCCAGCCUAGAAAACUGAUAGAUUUUAUGAGAAAAGGCACUACAAUCCCGCUCCCCAAUAAAAAGAAGAGAAAAGAAAAAGGACAAUAAUUCAAGAAAAAUAUCCUUAAGAAUGAUAGUUACACUGUAAGGGAUUCGAAUUCACAUCCCUUUUGGAAUUUCGGUCAAUUCAAAUGUUCGCUGGGUUUUAUUAGAGAUUUAAAGCUUCCAUCUUUACCAUUAAAACCAGUCCCUGUGGCUCCGCACAUUUUCCUAACCUCUACACUCUAACAUCAGCUAAGUCAUCUAAUCUGCCUAUCCAGUCCUCACCAAUAUUCAGCAGAAUAUCUUAAAUAUUCCUCCUUUUUUAUCAAAAAUUUAGUAAAACAAUUUUUAUAAGCUACUCCACAAUGGUAACACAGACAAUGGGAUAUCAUUACAAAGGAAAUUUCUUUCUGAGACAAGAAUUAACAGACGGGGCACAAUAAUGAUUAAUAUUACCUCUGAUAACUUUCCCCUGGCCAAUCUGGAAAGCAAACGGCUGCUGCCCUGGAUCCUUGGUGCUAUAAUUAACAAGGAUUUCAGAUCACAAGCAAGUAAUGCUGAAAAUAAUUGUACUAAAAAAAAAUCACAAAUUUUUAAAAUAAUUUUUUACAUGCGUCAUUACCUCCAGAAUUUUUUAGACAAAUCACGGUUCUUUCCUGCAAAUACACAACAUAUUCUUAUUAUUAGGAAAAUUAAAAGUAUUCUUCGGUAAUCAUAUGAAACAGACUGCCACUAAUAAUUUAACGGCGUGAAAGGCAAAGGUGCAAAUGGGAGAGAGGGAGGGGGUUUGGAAAUGGAGGGCACUUACCGAAACCGGUACAGUGGACGGCGACGGUCUGACCGGGAACGGGUUUGGGUCCCCCUCCGGGCCUUACGACUUGCUUCUCCACUCCCAUUCUUUCACGGCUGAGCGCUGAACUGUGAAUUACUUAGUAGUGAAUUUGCCUGCUGUUGCUUUUUGGAUAUUUGCUUUGGUUCCGGUUAUUAAAUACUGAAUAUGGCUGCGUUUGCUAUUGGGUAUUUGUGUUGGCUCACGUUGUUAGGAUACACGUGCGACUUUCUGCUUCUAGAAUACUGUAGAGUUUUUUUUUUUUGAUAAUAGAAUAAUGUAGAGUUAUGUCAGCCCUGUUAAGAUGCGAUUGGAUGAUGUGUGAGUCUCUCCCUCAACCUUAACCUUACAGUUUCCUUCAAAAAAAAAAAACCCUAACCUUACUUACUGCAAAAUUUUGGUAAUUGGGGCCUCAACAAACAAAGGGCUCCAAACAACUGUUUCUCCAUUAGCCCGCCAACCUGCAGUUCUUCGGGCUCGACAAUUGUUCAAGUCUGGUUCCUCCCGUUACAGAUGAUCACUGGAAGCAGUGGGCUUGUUCAAGUCUGGUUCCAAAAUCUUGGUAACUGAGUGCUUCGUUUGUGAUAAGUGUACCUCAGAGCAAGAAUUGGUUCGAAGUGAUAAAGUUGUCCUUUUAUCAGGUGAUAUGUAAGAUCUAAUCUUAUCAUACUACUUCAAAAUAAACCGUCUUGUGACUCUAAAGAGAGAUUUUAUUACGGUCCAAUAAAUUAACAUUGCAAGCCAGCAGUUUAGUCUUUGACUAAUAUGAAACCGUCAAUUUGAACAAAUAACCACCCCACAACCUUUGUUAAAUGUAUGCAUGUAUGUUUACUAGACAGUCAAGAUAACUCUAAAUAAGUUUUCACGGUCUUGUUUGGAGUAUUUUCAUUAAAAAAAAAAAAAAAGAAAUCUAACCCGAGGACUGGCUAACUAUUAGACAUGCCACGAACUUAUUGCACGCUAAAAUAAAUUUUCUACUUGUUGGGUUGCCAUUACCUUACCCUUGGGCCUAGGAAUAAAGAAAAAAUAGUUUGAAUGGAUGAAGUGUUUUUUAAGACGAUUUUUCACAAAUUACACUGUAUCAUUGUAUCCGUAGAUAUAUUUUUGAAUGUUUUUAAAAUUUAAAAUUCUAUUAGAAUAUUUUUAAAAGUUCGUUGAUUUUCGAUACCAAAACUAUCCCUUCCUCUACCCUCCUCUAUCAGCACCAUCACUCCUCUCUUCUCCCUUCAUCCUCCUACUUUCUCCUCUUCACUCUUCCUUCUCACCCCUCUUCCCUUCUUCCCUUCCCUCCCUUCCCCAUUCUUUUUUAUCCCCCUCCCUUCAUCUCAUUCCUUCUCCUUCCCUUCUCUCUCUCCUUUUUACUUCUCCGUAGCUCUCUUCCCAUCCCUUCCACCCUCUUUUUUAACCCCCUCUCUUUAUCUCAUUUCUCUGCCUUCCUUUCUUUCUCUCCUCCUUCCUUCACCGGCAGCGCUCAUCCCAUCCCUUCCCCUUUCUCUUGCAACCCCUCUCCCCUUUCUUCAUCCCCUCCUCUCUUCGCUCCUCCCUUUCCCCCAAUUCUCCUCCCCCCUUCCUCCUUUUCUCGUAGACCCUCAAGUGAGAGAAGGAGAGGGGGAAAGGGAAGGAGGUUGCAGGAGAAGGAAAAGGAUGGAAUGAUAAGGAAAAGGAGAAGGAAUAAGGCAGAAAAAGAAGAAGGGAGGUCCUAGAGGAAGAGGAAGAGGGAGGAAAAAGCAGGGAGGUAGAGGAAGAAGAAGGAAAAAAUAGAGAAAAAGGAGAAGGGAAGAGGGAGGAGCAAGGGACAGUGAUGGCGGUGGAGGAAAGAGGAGGGGAUGGGUGGUGGGUGGAAGAAAAAAGAGGUGAUAGAAUUUAUUUUAGUAUUUUUUAUUUCUUGUGUGUUUUUGUCAAGUGUAUUGAAAUUGUAUAUGAAGUAUUAUUGAGAUACCUUUUUUGGAGUGUGUAAAUAUAGCAUUACAUUUGGAAAGUAGGAUUUUUUUUUGGAGUGUGUUAAUGUAGUGUUGAAUUUUUAGUGUGUGUUAAUGUAGCAUUAUAUUUGAAAAAUAAUUUUUUUGGAAGUUUGUUGACGCAGCUUUGUAUUUGAAAUUUUUUUUUUGGAAGUUUGUUAAUGUAGCAUUGUAUUUGAAAAAUAGAUUUAAAUUUAACAAUAAUGCUAUACUAAGUUAAACAUAACACUGGAUUCCAAAUCGAUUAGUAUGGACCUAGGAUUAACUUUAUAUGUGAAGAAGAGGAAAAAUAAGAGGCGACUAUAAAGUUUCUUUAUCUUUAUCACUUAAUUCUUUUAGUCGUAUUUUGUAUUUUGUUUAGGUGAUUAUAAGAGCACAGGGAGACAAUGCCAAGAUAUCACCUGUUCCAAUAAGGAUUCGGGUUAGUUUAUUACCACAAAAGUCUUAACUUGCUUGGUAAAAAAAAAAAUAUAAUAAGGCAUCUUCGAAGUAACAAUACGUACCGUCAUAAACAUUAAAAGCGUAAAAUGUACUCGCCAAAAGGUAUGCUGGUAGGGCAUUUUGACCACAUGAAAUGAAGACGAUGGAAUAGAGCAAAGCAAAGUAAGAAGACAAUGGAGUAGAGCAACGGAAAGCGUGAUUACCCCCAGGAAAACUGUACAGGACUAACGCAAAUCUUUAUGCACGCAAACUGCUGAACCUUAAGAAAUACAGGAGCAUCCUGGUAUGGGCAUGACUUUUAAGCUCAGAGAAGCUUGGCCUUUAGAUUCCGGCUAUGAGUAGAUGCCUCGCUCAAACGCGUGAAGUAGAUGUGACACAGAAGCAGCGCCUUCAAAUUCCUAACUCAAAGGCGUUUCCUGUACUUCACUCAAAGGAGUAGGGUAUUGAAUCACCUGACAAACUCUCUCCUUCACUUUCAUGUAAUCUAGCUACUCAUUUUUCUUCAAUAUACACAUUAAUAUAUAACUUCAAGGAUACUUAAACUUCAUAUCAUUACUUUCAAGCUCUUUUGUUUGUUUUGCUUCUUUUUAUCUGAUUUAUCUUUGCUUCCGCCCUUUUCUUUUCUUUUCAUUUCUUCCCCUACACUUUCCUCUAAUUCCUGCACCAUCUUCGUAUCCUCAACUUUCCUUGCGACUUCUGUUACUAUAAAGACGUAUAGCGGAUUCUCAUUCUAACCCACGAUCCUCAUUCUUACACAGUACACACGAUUUAAGGAUUCUCCAAAUUUUCAUUUGGAGAAAGUAAUUUUCAUUUGGAGAGAGUUACAUUGCAAUAGCUAGUGCGUAUAACUUUUUCAAAUUGACAUCUAAUAGAAUUGAAGGAUAAAUAACCAACUCUUCGGUCUUCAAUACUCAUUCUGAAACAUAGUUAGCACCUUGGUCUCCAAGUCCUUGACAGAAUAUAUUAUGUACCCAUUCAGAUUCUUCACUUUGUGAACUCGGCUCAACUGCUCAAGAAAUUGAUUGUAUGCCGGAAUCAGCUUAACCAUUAUGCAUUCAAGAAGUUGUUGUAAAAUAUAUAGUAUUUCAAAAUAUUCUUUGUCCCAUAUCGAAAAAUGAGAAGUAUUGCUUUCUCUGUCCCACAUUGAGAAGUGAGAAGAGUUGCAGUCUUUGUCCCACAUCGAAAGUGAGAAGGGUUGCACCCCAUUCUGAAGUCUAUAAAUAGGACCCAUUCCUUUCACAGAAAAUCACCCCAGCAGCUUCAGUUAAUAUCUUUUGAUAGCUGCUCUAUCCCUCUCUCUCUCUCUUUUAUUUUUUGUUAGUUGAUUUCUUCCUGAUAAUUCUGUUCUCAUCUUUUAUAUAUAUAUAUAUAUAUAUAUAUAUAUAUCUGCUGGUUUUAAUUUGCUAGUUCUGGUCCUUCUAGUUUGCAACAAGAAGAAAGUUUGUCUUUCUUGUUCGCAAUAAAUAGAAGAAGGCUUGUUUAAUCCUGGGGAAACAUUUCAAUUUCAUGAAAUAGUUUCUUAGGACAGUGCUACGCACGACUCAAGCAGAUAGUGUUAACAUUGUUGUAGCCAUUUAUCCAACAAUCUAAGAAACUAUGGCAUCUGACAAUGUUAACACCUCGCAACCUGCAUCAGGAUCAGUUGCAGUCGCACUACGUUUUCUACUCGACAUUCAUGAAGUGGCCUAUGCACUGACAGAAUCUCAACCUGCUGCAACUGUAGAUGUCAAGAUACAAAAGUCGUGGCAAUAUGCCAAUAAGGUAUGUCGACACUCUAUUUUACAAACACCCUUAAAUGAAUUAUUUGAUGUGUAUUGUAGCUAUGUGCAAGCCAAUAAGUCCCAGUAUAAUAGACCAAAAAAAAAAAUCCCAAUUACAAGUCUAAUAUUCCCAACUUUAAGAAAAAGAAAGGCAAUUGCCAUUAUUGUAGAAAAUCAGAACAUUAGGCUGCCCUGUAUAGAUACAAUAAAGGUGACAAAGCAAAUGGUAAUCCUCCUAAGGUUAAUUUAACCGAAGGAGAUGAAAUAAUUGCUGCAGUCAUCUCUCAAGUGAACAUUGCAGCUAAUGUUAAAGAAUGGGUGAUAGACUCUGGGGCUACUCGGCACAUAUGUGCAAAUCGAGAAGCGUUUUCCUCCUAUACUUCAAUAGGGGAUGAUGAAAAAAUAGUCUACCUUGCAGACUCACGAACUGCUAAAGUUCUGGGUAAGGGCAAAGUACUAUUGAAACUCACUUCAGGAAAUACUUUGGCUCUUAAUGAUGUGCUGCAUGUUCCAAAUAUUCGGGCAAAUCUUGUUUCUGUGGCUUUGCUUGGAAAAGUUGGGGUGAAAGUGUCAUUCGAAUCUGAAAAGAUUGUAAUGACAAGAAAUAAUGUGUUUGUAAGGAAAGACUAUUGUAAUCAGGGACUUUUUGUACUUAAUAUUUCCAAUGUGAUCAAUGAAAAUGCAUCUUCUUCUGCUUAUAUUGUUGAUUCCAUUUCUUUAUGACAUGCUAGAUUGGGACAUGUUAAUAUUGGUUAUAUAAAGAAAAUGCAAUCAUGUGGUCUAAUUUCUGGUAUUAAUGAUAAUAUGGACAAAUGUGAAAUAUGUGCAGAAGCUAAAAUAACAAAGAAAAGUUGUAUAACUGUCCAUAGAGAAACUGAAUUAUUAAAUUUAAUUCAUACUGAUUUAGGUGAUUUAAAACAAACAAUGACUAGAGGUGGGAAAAGGUAUUAUGUCACAUUUAUAGAUGACUAUUCUAGAUAUACCAAAGUUUAUUUACUUAGAAAUAAAGAUGAUACUUAUAAUGCCUUUUUAUCCUAUAAGUCUGAAGUAGAAAAUCAACUUAAUAAAAGGAUAAAAAGAAUUAGAUCAGAUAGGGGUGAAGAAUAUUUAACUUUAGAUAACCUUUGUGAACAGGAAGGCAUAAUACAUGAAAUAACUCCACCUUAUUCACCAGAAUCUAAUGGAGUAGUUGAAAGGAAAAAUAGAACGUUAAAAGAAAUGAUGAACUCUAUGUUAAUUAGUUCUCAUGAUCCAGAUAAUUUAUGGGGAGAAGCUAUAUUAUCUGCAUGUCACUUACAAAAUAGAAUCCCACAUAAAAAGACUGGCAAAACACCUUAUGAGUUAUGGAAAAAUUAUAAACCAAAUUUGAAAUAUUUAAAAGUUUGGGGGUGUCUUGCUAAAGUCUUGUUGCCUGAACCUAAGAAAAGGAAAAUAGGUUCUAAAACUUCUGAUUGUAUGUUUAUUGGAUAUGCUGAACAUAGUGCUGCAUAUAGAUUUCUUGUGUUAAGAAGUGAUAUACUUGAUUGUAAUACAAUUAUUGAGACAAAGAAUGCUGAAUUUUUUGAACAUAUUUUUCCACUAUCUAGUAAAAUUUCUCAUGCACCUGUUGAAAUAAAUAAGGAAAUUAUUCCAAUUGAGGAAUUAAGAAGGAGCAAAAGGCCAAGAAAAGAAUUUUCAUUUGGAAAUGAUUUCCAAACCUUUCUUGUUGAUAAUGAUCCUUUAACAUACUGCGAUGCUAUUUCUUCUCCUGAGUGUAAAUUUUGGAAAGAAGCAAUUAAAUCUGAAAUUGAUUCUAUCUUGUCAAAUAAAACUUGGAUUUUGGUAGACUUACCUCCUGGUGCAAAACCUAUUGGUUGCAAAUGGAUUUUUAAAAGAAAAUAUAACUCUGAUGGCUCUAUAGAAAAGUACAAAGCUCAUUUAGUAGCAAAAGGAUUUUCUCAAAAACAAAAUAUUGAUUAUUUUGAUACAUUUGCACCAGUAACUAGAAUUGCGUCUAUUCGAGUUUUAUUUGCUUUAGCUUCUAUCAAAUGGAUGUCAAAACAGCAUUUUUAAAUGGUGAUUUAGAAGAAGAAAUUUAUAUGUUUCAACCUGAGGGAUGUAUUAUACCUGGACAAGAAAAUAAGGUUUGCAAACUAAUUAAAUCUCUUUAUGGUCUAAAACAAGCUCCUAAACAGUGGCAUGAGAAAUUUGAUCAAGUAUUGAUGAAAGAUGGAUUUUCGUCUAUAGAAGUGGAUAAAUGUGUAUAUGUCAAAAUUAUAAAUGAUCAAUAUGUGAUAAUCAGUUUAUAUGUGGAUGACAUGCUUAUAUUUGGUACUAGUCUAGAUAUUGUAAAUAGUACUAAAUAUUUUUUGUCUUCUAAUUUUGAUAUGAAAGAUUUGGGUGAAGCCAAAAUAAUAUUGGGUGUUAAAAUCAUAAGGAAAGGUGAUGGUAUAAUGUUGUCUCAAGAACAUUAUACAGAGAGACUUCUUAGGAAGUUUGAAAAUUAUGAUGUGACACCUGUGAGUACUCCUUAUGAUGCUAACACUCAAUUAAAGAAAAAUAAUAGUGACCCAAUUGCUCAGUCUAAAUAUGCUCAGAUUAUUGGGAGUCUGAUGCAUCUGAUGAAUUUCACUAGACCUGAUAUAGCUUAUGCUGUAUGUCGACUGAGUAGAUAUACUCAUAAUCACAACCGUGAGCAUUGGUUUGCAUUAGUCAGACUGAUGAAAUAUUUGAGAGGUACCAUGAAUUUUGGUAUCCUGUAUAGUGGAUUUCCCACUGUAUUAGAGGGUUACAGUGAUGCUAAUUGGAUCUCUGAUUCAAAUGAUACGAAAUCCACUAGUGGUUAUGUGUUCACCCUUGGUGGUGGUGCAAUAACAUGGAAAUCUGCUAGACAGACAAUCAUUGCUAGAUCAACAAUGGAGUCAGAGUUUGUAGCUCUGGAACUGACAGGGACUGAGGCCGAGUGGUUGAGAAAUUUCUUAGCUAAUAUUCCUUCAACUAAGGAUUUGUUGCCUCCUGUGUCCAUACAUUGUGACUGUCAAGCAGCGAUUGCCAUAGCUAAAAAUAAAUCGUAUAAUUGUAAAAGUCGACACAUGAGAUUGAGACAUGAUGUCGUAAAGCAGCUGCUUAGAGAUGGAAUUAUUUCCAUUGAUUAUGUAAAGUUAGAGUUGAAUUUGGCCGAUCCUCUGACUAAACCCGUAGGAAGAAAAUUGAUUCUUCAAACUACGAAAGAAAUGGGACUUCGACCAACAAGUUGUCAAUAGAGACGGUAACCCAACCUAUGUGAUUGGUGAUCCCAUGAAGUAGGUUCAUAUGGGUAAUAACAAGUCAAUAUUGAUAGUAAAACACUUCAAAUUUAAGUCCCUCUAGAGAUAAGUGCUUUGAGUAAUUGUGAGGAUUAGUUAAAACUCUUAAUGAAUUCAUAUCCCAUUAGGGAGGUGUAGUUAAAGCAAUAUACACUUGAUGAAUUCACCUAUAUGAGAGUGGAGUGGGGCCGCUCCUAUAAGAUUCAUUGGUCAAAUCUUUAGAGCUCUCAUGAAAUAACCAGGCAGGCGCACGGCCUAAAAGCGCAAAAUCGCGUUAACAGCAAAUUAUGGGUUGCAAUGUGAUUGAUAAAAUCUCUGUCAUACAUCAAGAGUUAUUGGUUCAUAGAAAUUUAUAUUUCACCAAUAACUUUGUAGAUCAUGUUUUAUCAAUCUAUGUUUGGUUCAUAGUCUAAAAGACACCAAACUAAUUACAUUUCAACCAAAUCCAGCAGAGUACUUUUAACAUUCUUCUUUUUAUCCAAAUAAUUUUUUGAAAUAGGAAGGAGAUUGUUGUAAAAUAUAUAGUAUUUCAAAAUAUUCUUUGUCCCACAUCGAAAAAUGAGAAGUAUUGCUUUCUCUGUCCCACAUUGAGAAGUGAAAAGAGUUGCAGUCUUUGUCCCACAUCGAAAGUGAGAAGGGUUGCACCCCAUUCUGAAGUCUAUAAAUAGGACCCAUUCCUUUCACAGAAAAUCACCCCAGCAGCUUCAGUUAAUAUCUUUUGAUAGCUGCUCUAUCCCUCUCUCUCUCUCUUUUAUUUUUUGUUAGUUGAUUUCUUCCUGAUAAUUCUGUUCUCAUCUUUUAUAUAUAUAUAUAUAUAUCUGCUGGUUUUAAUUUGCUAGUUCUGGUCCUUCUAGUUUGCAACAAGAAGAAAGUUUGUCUUUCUUGUUCGCAAUAAAUAGAAGAAGGCUUGUUUAAUCCUGGGGAAACAUUUCAAUUUUAUGAAAUAGUUUCUUAGGACAGUGCUACGCACGACUCAAGCAGAUAGUGUUAACAUUGUUGUAGCCAUUUAUCCAACAGAAGUUUCAUCCGCAGCUGCUGAUCUGGUACCAUCCAUCCUUCUUGAGUCUGAAGUAUAUCUUCAAACAUACGAUUGAAGGUCCUAAACUUCUUUUUCACAGCUCUCGUAGACCUUCCAGGAAAGAAAUCAAAAUUUGAAUGUGAUUUUAAUCCUUUACCUUUCAAAAAAUCGCAGACUUCGCCCCAACUUGUAUGGAGAUAAUCAGUCCUUGCCAGCUCCACUUUUUCUCUUAAUUUCAUCCGCAGGCGAGUGCCAAUAAGUUCUCCCAACUCCUCGGAACUUUUAAUCAUCUCAGAAACAGAGUUAACAUUGUUCAUCAUGAACAAACAACCCAGAGAUUCUUGUCCAUAGAAGUUGGACUUGAAUUUCAAGUUAUUCAGUAAAAACUCGAUGACUCGAGUUAGAUGGCUCUCUAUGGAAAUUGGCCUUUCAUCCAUUUCAUGUGAACCCAGUACUUCAGGAGGAUCUCGAUCAUUGGAGCUUUGGGGUCUAGCCACCAAGUCAUUUAAGGAUUUCCUGUGAACAUAAAUCAGGUCAAUGUGACGAAUUAUGUGUCUAGUUAAGGGGUGAAUUCCUCCCCCAGGAAAUGGCAUCGUCGAAAGCUCACGAAGAACAUUUUUCUCUGUAACAGAAAGGAUCUUUGUCAUUUGCUGUUUCAGUCGGAGCAAAAUCUCAGUGGCAAGGCCGCAGAUAGCUUUCGCCGGUUGUACAUCUUGGUCAAAAUAUACAAUCACUUGUGGAACUAGAUUGGUGAGUUCUAGACAAAAGGGCAUCAAAAUGUCUGGUCUCUGGGGCAAUCGGCGGCGGGCUAAUAGAGAGUCUGGAAACUCAAACAACUUGGCCGCAGCCCCUACUACUAUGGACACAAAACGGCCGUUAGCAGCAGUAUCCUCAGAUGUUCCCAAGUCUCCAAAUAUUUGCUCAUAAAAACACUUUUCUAAUUUAAAAAUGGUGGCUAUGCAAAACUUGGCUAUUUGUAUCCAUCCAUUGAUUUUGUCACUCAACUCAUCCAAGCAAUUAAAAUGACAGACGGUUUGUACAUUCAAUUUCUCACGGAGUCUCAUAAAUACCGUGUUGACCACGUCCUUUCGACGCUCGACAUACAUCUGAACACAAUCCGCCAAUUCGUUUCUGGAGGUCAAUAUUUCUGAAAUGCGCCCAAGAGUCUUUAUAUCUUCUUCACUGAAGGCCUUGUGAUGGCCCUUAUAGUCUUCGUAAUGCAAUGUCAUGCUGGAGCUGUCUGUUAUGGAAGCUGAUGGAGAAACUGAAUUGUUCGAACUCUUCAAGAAUUGAUCCGCACCAAUGGGGUACUUGGGGUUGAAUAAGAUGUCCUGGAACUGGAGCUUGAGUUGCGAAGAGGGGAUUUGGGAAGCCUGCCCAUCAAAGAUGACUUUGCUUUCACUGUAAAGUGAGAAUAGAUCUUUUGUCAAGUUCAUCAUACACUCCUAGUUUACUUGGGAAAAAGUUGCAGGAGGGGGUUGUGGAAAUGCCGGAUAGGAGAAGUUGUCAGGCAAUGCAAAACUGGGGUUUGAAAUUGUAACCAAAGGAUGGAAGAGUUGGGUAGAAAAGAUAGAACGACUUUUGAAAAUUGGAAUAAUUUCAGAGACCUCCCUUGAGGUUUUACCUAAUUUCACUUUAGUAUCCUUAAAGUUUCAGAAAUAUCAUUUACCUCCCUUGUUGGUAAAUGAGACUUCUAAUCAUCCUAACUGCAUAUAAAUUGACAAAAUUAUUCUUACUAGUUUAAUCAUUCUUUAGGCAAACAAAUACGAAAGAUAAAACCAAAAUUGCAAUGGCUAUUUUAACCAUUUUUCAUUUUUGCACUUAAAGAAUUUUAGUUAUUUAAUCUUUUUAUAUCAACCAAUUAUUAAAUUGUCUUUGAUAGUAUAAUAACUAUUUAAACAAAUAACAUAUGUAACAAAAAAAUUAAGUCUAUAAAGACAACAACUAAGCAAAUAAUUAUAUUUGAAUUUAAUCACCCUUAUUCUUCCAAAUUUCGAUACCCUCUAUAUGAAUUUUAUAUUAAAUCACCCUUACUAUGUUAGGGGAAAAAAAGUUGGAAGUGAAAAUGCUUAACAUCUCCCCUACUUUUGUCUUUUUAUGCCAAUUCUAUAUUUGCUCUCACUAUUUUUUUUUUAAAAAACUUUAUGCAAAAAGAGUUCGGAAAAAAAAUAAAAUCUAUAAGAUUUUGGUGAUUCUAAUUAUUAUUUUUCCCUAAACACACCCCUCUCCCUUGACUUUUGGUCUUUUUAUGUCAACCUUAUAUCAAAUUAUCCUAAUUAUUCUAACCAUCAUAUAUGCCAAAAAAGGAAGAUAAUAAAUCUAAAUUUAUAAAAAAAUGGGUAAUCUAAUAAUUGUUGUAUGCAAACAUCUCUUCUUGCCACAUUUUUAGUUUUUACAUGCUAGUUUUUAAUUAAGUUUCUUUGGUUAUUCUAACAAUUAUAUAAGGGAAAAAAAUAGAAAAAGCCAAAAAUAGAAAGAAAAUACUAUUCUAUCAUUUAUUGUAGCACUUAACACUCUAUUCUAAUCUUGUUUAGUUCUCCCAUGCAAAUAUAUGUUAGAAAUUAAUUUGGUUAAAAAUUCAAGAUAAGACAACAUAAAAGGAUAAAAUUGGAACAAAAAUAAAUCUCUCUCUGUAUCUCUCUUUUUAAAUAAUUAUUUUAAGAAUAUUUUCAUGGUGUAGGGAUGAGUUUGUUAUAAAGAUAUGAUUUUAGAAAAGGUUUAUAAUAUUUUUAAAACUUUCAAAAGUAUCAAGUAAUAUUAAAGAAAAUCUUAAAGGAGAUUUUGGAAAAUAUCCCUAUAUUUUGUACGUAUAGGCCCAAUAACAAGACAAAUGAUGGCAGUACUAGUCAUGCUGACUAAGAAAGCGUUUCUGAUUGAGGUUUGACUAUGGUGAAACAAACAAGUAAGCGUGACAAUAGUGGCCACCAUCAAACCUUUAAGUUUUGGUGGGAUAGGGGAUUAAUGUGAAUUUGUUUCAAAAAAUUCAGACUGAUGCACGGUAUACCAGUUUAGUUUGGUAAUGGUUUAAAUCUCCUUCCGUUAUUUCUGGACCUCCUUAGAUCCAUCCCCUCUUCCUAAUUUAGAAUAGAUUAGGAUACACUAGAACUGUGAUUUCGAAAAAAAAAUUGACAGUGGUGGCACCAGUCGCGGGGGAAGAAAUGAGAGGUGGGGUCUACUGCUACAUUCACACCUGGCAAGACAACAGUUCAUGGUCUGGAUUUGCCGCAAGCGAUUGGGUUGAUUUGGAGCAUUCAUUUGACAUUUUUAUGGCACACUUUAAAUUUUGUCCAAUUCUUUAUGAAAAAAUGGAGGGAGUCAAUUGUACAGUACAAUUUCGGGUGCAGUUGCACUAGAUUUUCUCCCAUAGAGGUUUGGAAAGGCCACCUCUGCUCCAUCCGUGUGCAUUCCCCUUACAAUACCUUCGUUGGGUAGAUGAGUUGCUGGGAAGUGAAAUGAUGAUGAUAUCAUCAAGUAGCCGCUUUUAGGUUGCUCUCGUACGAAUUUGUUAGAACUUACAACAGCAGUUUUCUGCAUGAACAUAUAUAUAUAUAUAUAUUAAUAUAAUUCAGAAGAAGUUCCAAGUGAAUCAGGAGAUGGUCCGUCCGUAACAGGAUUGGUAAGUAGUAUGAGAAAAACACAAGAAGGUGGCUUAUUGUCAACUACUUUUUCAUCUAAGCUUCAGUCUCCGUCUGCUGAAGGUCCAGACCAAUAAUGUCAGCAACACUUCAUCAUGCAUGUACAGUCAACAUCAUGAGUGUCGCAACAGAAGGGCCGAGCAGAAUUAGCUUGUAAUCAUAUAUAUAUAUAUAUAUAUAUACUAGUUUUUUAGCCCUGACGCUAUGCGUCAGGUAGCUGAGACUCGUUAUUUUGGUGUUAUGUUUGUGUGUUUUUUUUUUGUUAGAUAUAAUAGUCAUGUGUAUGAGUGUAUUUUUUUCCUAAUUACACAAAUAAAUAUGACUUUGAAAUCAGGUUAUCUUACAUUCUUAAUAUAGUAUUAAUCAGUAAGUAAUGCUUAAUAUUAGGUAGAACUAAAAGGCAUAUGAUUAUACAUGUAAUGUGUAGCCUUGCUUAUUAGUCACGUUACUUCUCUAAGACAAGCAAUUUGACAAUUUCCAUUUUUUUGACACUUUCUAUUUGCUAGUACUUCACAUUUAACAAUCUUUUAGAAGAAAGAAAUAAAGAAAGACAAUUAUAAAAUGGGUUUGUCAUUUUCUUUUGUUUGCUAGACUUGAAUGAGCAUUCAAACAUAUUUAAAAAUAUUUUCAAACCAAUGUAAAAUUGAAUUAAUAAUUUUUGUAUAUUCAGUAGCUUUUUUUUUUUUUUUUGGAGAUUUUGAUGAUUUUGGUUUUGAUAAUUUGUAUUUAUUGAAUCAUUUUUUUCAUUCUCAAAAGAAAAAAAAUUGGACAUACUGUAACAGUUUAAAAAUUAUAAUCUAUUUCUUAAAUUGCAUUUUUUUUUAAAGAAAGUUUAUCCUUUUACCAAAAACAGAAUGAACAGAACCAAGAACAAAAUGAGAGGAAAUUACUGACCGCCAAAAUGUUCCCAUCCAAGAGGCCUACGCGGACAGAAGAGCAGGAGUGAAAGUGGUAAUUAGAAGAGAGCAAGGAAGAGAGAGAGAAGGCAAAGCAAAGAACGUCCACCGAUUCCAAUGAGGCUAACUGCACCCACGUUUCCCCAAGCCACCGAAAAAUCAUCCAACCAACAAACACCCCCAGAGUUCAUGAAAAUUACGGAGUAACCGGACCAUUUGCCCACGCGGACAGGAGUGAAUUUCCAACAAAACCACGCCACCCAUCAGCAAAAGACCAAAACGCCCCUCAAGCUCACACAAAUCACGGCAUAACCGGUCCAUCGGUACUGUUCACAAGCUAUUCGUGCUUUAUAUAUGUACUAGUUUUUUCUGCCCUGACGCUAUGCGUCAGAUAGCCUGGACUGUUUUUUUUUUUUUUCUGCUGUGGUAUAUUUUUUAUUACUUUUGUGUGUGUAUGUGUGUUUUUUUUUUUUGACAUACUUUCAAGAAAAGCGCUGAAGUGCAAGCCCUAGCUCUAUUCAAACACAAGGAAACUGUAAAAAAAAAUUGUGAAAAUCCUGCCCAAAAACAACACAAUCGCAAAUUUAAAUUUAAUCACAACCCUACUUAAAGCCAUCUGCAGCAACAACUUCAAAGGAACAAAAUAUAAAUUCUAAUUUAUUUAGACAUUUUUUUCGACAGAAGAGGUAUCCGAUUGAACAGCAAAUGCAUUCUGCAGGCCUUCGCGGAGCUUCUUCCGCAAGCUUUCUUCUUUACGGUUCUUUCGAAUCUCGACCAUGUUGUUUAUUCCCCUCCAGCAGCACUCUUCAGCGUCCAACGCCACUUCAGAAAGAUUAGUUCUCAAAUUACAUCCCGAGUAGUUUUUCUGGGUUAGGAAAAUUAAAUUUGAAAGUUACGGAAGAUUCGUGGGAACUCUGCAAAAUGCAUUAAAAAAAGUGAGAAUUAGAGUAGAGAAGUUUAUUUUUAUCUUUUACCCUCUGAUUUUUGGGAUUGGCUCAAUAUGCCUAUUUAUCUUUGAACUCCAAUCGGAGCCUUGUGGUUUCCAAUGUCCUAUGCAACUAUAAAUCUCCCUCUAAUGCCAAUGGAAGGAGCUCUCCUCCUUCGUCGCCCACUUCUCCACUUCCUGUAAUGACAUAUUUAGUCAACCCCAACUCAAGAAAAAAUCCAACCAUUCACAUGAAAAUUGAAAUCCCAUGCAAUGAUAAAACCUAGAACACUUAAAAGUAAAAAAAUAAGAAGAAAGAGAGGCAAAACAAUUCAAAAAUGGAAUUACGGAGAUGGGAUUAAUUGGAAAAGGUGAUUACAUUUUUGUUGUGCGUGUAGGAAAAAUUGAGAGGGAAUCUACUGUAGAUUUCUAGAUAAGAUCAUGGAGAAAGAUGUGGUGUAGGGAAAAAUUAAAUAGGAAGAUGAUGAGUGAAAAAAACUGGCAGAGAAGGCCAAGAGAAGAACGAGAAAGGGCAAUGGAGAUUGCAGAGCUUUCAAGCGGUGGUGGUUCCAUUGUACCUCAAAUCACUGCUAAACUUGUUGCCGUCCGAGAACAGCACGUGGGGAAUGUUGAAGAAAGCCAAAAUUGCUUGGACACCUGGUAAAGAAAGCCAAGAAAAGAAGAGAGGAAACAAGGCCGAAAUUGCCCACCCGCCAAAAUUGCUCCUAUCCAAUAAUAGCAUGCGGACAGCAGUGAAUUUCCACCAAAACCACUACCAUCCAAUGCCAGAAGACCAAAACACCACUCAAGACUCUAUUCCGACCCAUUGUCAAAACAUUAAUCUACAGCAAACCAUCAAAAUGCGCAAAUAAAGCAAAGAGUGGAGACUUUAGAAGAUCAGCUUGCUCAGAAAAUCAGCUAAGUGAGACAAUGAAGAUUUCACCUUGCAAAACCAAAGAUCACUGGGGACACCAUCCACUGCCUACUCACCAGUGGAGGCAAAGCAACUGCAAUUACACAAGAGAUUAGGAAACCAAACAUACGUGUGAGGCGUAAUAUACAUAAAGCAACAAGUGAAGACUAUUGAAAACUUUGCAAAACCAGAGAUCACUGGAGACACCGUCCACUGCCUACUCACCAUCGGAGGCAAAGCAACUGCAAUUACACAAAAGCUUAGGAAACCAAACAUGCGUGUGAGGUGAAAUAUACAUAAAGCAAAGAAUGAAGACUCUAGAAAGCUUUUGCCGCCCAACCGCCCACUAACUUAAUAGUAAUUGCUGACUACCAAAGUGAAGAGCCACGCGGACAGAGCAUUGCUGACUACCAAAAUGAAGAGCCACGCGGACAGAGCAAGGUUACAAUGCAAGAGAGCCAGCGGACAAAAGCAAAAUACCAGCAGAGCCACUGACACCCAUCAGCAAAAGACCAAAACGCCCCUCAAGCUCACACAAAUAACGGCAUAACCGGCCCAUUUUUUACUGUUCACAAGCGGAUUCUCGCUUUAUAUAUGUAAGACUAGAUGUUUUGCCCUGACGCUAUGCGUCAGGUAGGUAGGAAAGAAUUGUUUAGUUGGUAAGAAUAGCAAGUUGAGAAAGGUGAGGCUGUGGCGGUGGUUUGUACUGGCGUUAGCCAGGUGUUGUUUAUGUGAUUUUGUAGUAUCUGAUUUGUAGUUUGCAUGAGUAGGAUUGCUACUUGUGUUUCAUGCGUUGAUUGUGUCAGGAAAAAAUUGCCAAGUUGUGCUGAUUUUCUUUGUACGUGGCCAGUUUCUUGCUACUAUAUAUAAGGACCUUCGUGUUUUGGGAAUGGUUAUGUGUGAUAUAUUUUUGGUUUGCUAGGUAGUAGUUUGUAUUUGCAAAGUGUGUGUUUUUUUCAGUUGGAUGGAGUCGCAGUGUGUUAGUGUUUGCGGAUUGAAUGAUAGAAUUCGAGGAUGGAUUGCUAAGUUAGUUGUCGUGGAAAAAACUUUAUUUCGGCGACCGCGGAAUUCGACUCGAAUGUUUUUUCGAGUUGUUUUUGCUGAUGCUUCUGUAAGGGCUUCUUAGACUUGUUUUUGUAAGUUUUAUUGUGUUUUUGUUUUGUUGAUAUGGAUAAUAGGUAUCUCUCUUUUUUUCAGGGUGAUACAAUUCAAGGAAUAACAUAUUUAUCUGAUCUGGAUGCUAUGGAUUGUGCAUUGGAGUUGCAUGGGACAUAUUAUAUUGCAAAUGCCACUAUACAGUGUCUACGUAGUUCACGGAUGCAGAUUGGGAUGGUUCCAUAUGAGAUUAUUAUAUCACAUAAUACUGUGAUUAAUCGUGUUUUACCUGAGCAUGCAUUAUCGGUGGAAAAUUUCUAUGAACUGACUCGUUUUUGCGAUUUGGAUUCUUUGAGGGUUAAUCCAAAUGCAAGGAUAAGUAUAACUUUUUUUUUGUUUUUUUGGUUGUGGUGUAUUAGUAAGUUUAGGUAUUAUUGGUGUGAUUGCAGGCUAAUUUGUUAUUUUUAUAUGAUAGCUUUGCUUGGUGUAGCUGUUUAUGCUGGUCCGGCAAUAUUUUACGCCAUCGGAAAUAGACAAGUUCAUCUGCAAGAGUUUAUUAUCUUGAAUGAAGAGUAUGUUAUCAGUUUCUGUAUGGUUAGUUAAUAUAGUUAUAAUUAUAUUUUUUAAUUGUGUUUGUUUAAUUUUAGUGUGUAUAUAAUUUUUGCAGGAGGAUACCAAUAGUGUUUUCAGUAUGGGAUGAUUAUUUUGAGGAUGAUGGCAUGCAUUUAGUUGAACUUAUCAACGAGCGACCAGUUGUUAUGAUUUGUCGUCCACGUAUUAGUCAUCUUCAUGGUAUAUGGGUUUGAUUUUAGUUUUCUAUUAUUUAUUUAUGGUUGUGUCUAGGAUUUUGUUUAUGUAGAUAUUUUUUGUAUUUUUUUUUAUUCGCAGGUCUUUCUAUUGCAACUCAAGCGACUACCAUUAUUAUGUAUAAUCCUAAUUUGCUCGUGGCUCAGCAGCUAAGGCAUUGGUAUGAUACAUUUGUUGGUGAUACUGGCUUUUGAGCAAUGAAAGUGAAGGAUUUUUGGCAUCGCUUGUGGUGAUAUUUCUGUUGGUGUUAUAAUAGCUAGUAUCUAAGAGUGAUUUGUGCAUAGUUGUAGUUUUGGUGUGGUAUGUUACGGUUGUUAUUUCAUUGAUGUUAUAAUAGUUGGUAUGUAAUAGUGGUUUGUGAAUAUUGGACGUUUGAUUUUCCUCUUUUUUUUUUUUCCUUUGGCUGGUUUGGAGUGGUAUCAUUGAAUCUAAGUUUGUUUUUUUAAGAAGUAUUUUUUGGUGAAUUAUUUGAUUGUUUUUAGAAGGAUUUUUUAGAUAUCUUCUUGUUAUAUUUUGCUUAAUAUUUAUGUAGCUGUAAUUGAAUUAUGCUGAUGCGGUAUAAUUGUGUAUAAGAAGAAGAAAUCAAACUUUAAGCAAUGUAUAUGUAAGAUAUGUGCGAAUUUGAGUAGGAACAGGAUAAGUAGUUAUAUCUUACAUAUAUUUCAUUUACAAGAGCAACAAGAGCAAGAUAUAUUCAAAAGUGGCCUUGCUAAACUAACUGGCGUUUAUGUACAUUCCGCGCCUUAGGUAUAAAAGUGUCUAAGCAGGGUCUGCAUUAGCCAUUUGCAAUAUUGCUGAGGUUGAUUAUAGAUAUAAUAUUGAUGGUAGGGCUGAGCAAAAGUGAUAGAAGGUGUGCUGAGUGAGAGAUUUAGAAGGUGCUGAGGUGUUUAUGGCUUUGGGCGUUUGUUGUGGGCUUCUUGAACUGGCUGAAGGGGGUGUUUUGAUGUUGUUUGUUGCUUGAUUGACGUAAUUUGGUCAUUGAUGGUGGUAUCGAUUGAUGGUUCAUGUGUAGGUUCUUGGGAUGUGCUUGGUUCGGUAGAGUCAAUCACAGUUGUGAUCUGAAGGUUACUGUUGUCGGCGGCUAGAUGGGGAAUAGUGUUUGGGGUCGGAGGGAUUGUAAGAUAAGCAACAACAAUGUAUCGUGCAGGCUGAAGUGUUUCUGAUGGUCGAAUGAUAUUUCGUAGUUGGAUGUAGAAUUGGGUAUCUUGGAGGUUGUUAUUGAUUAGCUGGAUGUUGAUUUGUUCAUGUAUCUUUUGCAUGUUUAUGAUUUGCUCGGCUGACAUUUGAAGAAUAGACUCUGCAUAUUUGUCUUCAAUUAAUGCUGGUAGAAUACUUGUACCAUCAAAGAGUUGAACUUCAAAACGGAGCCUGCCAUUACAUCAAAUUGUUAAGCAUAAUAUUAGAAUAGGUACAAAAUUAAGUAGUAAUUGAUAAAGCAUAGAAAUUAAAUGCGAACCUUGGUAAUGGUUUUUGGUAAGUGAGAUGGCAGUAAAAGCAUUUGAAUUCUGUAUCAGUAUCAGCUCCUGUUGGUUUUGAACAAUCAGGUUUUGGACAACUUAGGUAGUAAAAACGUGUGUUUGUCACUGAGAUACGAAUCUGAGCCUUUAUCCAAAAGGGCCUGGUCUGUGAUUUCAUACGAUAUAUGUUAGGUAUUGGUAAUUUUAUCUGCAACUGAUUAAUAGCAGUAUGAUUAAGACUUACAUGUUCAGCUGUCAUAGGAAUUGUCGCUAUUUCUUGUAGUUGUGCAGUGGUUGGUGGAUGGAUAAUUUGAUUUGCUUUUUCAUAUAGUCUUUCUUUGAUUAUUGUUUGUAUGUAACAGCUAUUUUCCUUUAUCCUGCAUAAAAGUUGGGUUUAUGAAUCUGGUUGAUAUGAGGAUUAUAUAGUUUAAAUUAAUAGGAUUACCAGUUUCUCAAAGCUGUGGCUUGGGGGAUUUCUGGAUUGAAUAAUAUGAUAGUGGUUGCUUGUGUUCCCAGAGAAAUUGCUGCAAUUGAAUGUAAAUAAGAAUAUAGAUUGUGAAGGUGUGUGAUAAUUUUAUAUAGUUGUAAAUUUGUAUCAGAAAAUAAUAUGCUUACUGUGAUACGAGUUGACUUUUGGUCUAGCCAGUAAGAUGAUAGGUUGCUGAGGUGCCAUUGCUUUUAAUUGCGAUCCUUCGACAGAUAAGAAUUCUUCCCAUAUCGUAAAAGUCAUUGGUCGUUUUCUGCAUGUAUAGAAGUGUAAAUAUUAUGAAUUAGUAACAUAUGGUAGAGAAUAACUUUUAGUUAGAAUUGGCAAGUACUCUUCAUUAACGACAGCAAAUUCUUGGAUCGGCACAUAUCGUUUUCCUCUUGGCACUAAGCGAGGAGGUAGCGCAUGCAGGACAGCACAGAGGAUAUCUGUACAUCAGAGAUCAAUUGUAUUUAGACUACAUGUUUUGUAAAAGGCAGUGUAAGGCAGUGGAUGAAAAUCAUACUUAUUCUUGUUGAGUAAUCGCCAAUGUAAUUAUGUAGCUGUGUAAAGGGUGUUAAUUCAUAGCAAUCAUCAGAGGGCAAUGCAUCAUGUGAUGAAACAGCCUGAAUAAAUGUUCUUUUCGAGAUUGUUAACUGAUAUGGUGAAGAUGCAAGAUAAAAAGGGAUGCUUAUUUUUGUAACCCAAGCAUUUCCAAUGUAGUAGGUGGAAUAAAGCUGAAGAAUUGGCUCGAUAUCUUGAAUGUCUCUUUCGAAAAUAGUUCCUUGGAUGGUGUUUUUCUGCAUUUAAAAAUUGAAGAGAUGUAAUGAGUGAUUUUGUGUAUAAGUGUGUGUGAUAAUAGGUAGAUGAAUAAAAAUUUAUUUGGUUUGAUAUAUCUCACCAUAGCAUCAGCGAACACUAAUUUUUGAUAUGGCCUUCCAUCUUCUUUGCUAUAACGAAUUGCACUUUUUUCUAUCACAAUAAGUUUAGCAAACCAAUUUGAGUUCGUGUCUGUUAACUUUGGUAUCAGAACGCAUUUUCCCUCCAUGUUGAUACUGAAAAAAGAGGGAGCAAAGUAAAAUUAAUUAAUAAGUAAAGUAAAAGUUUCUAUGUAUUAUAUAUGUGAAGGAUUUAGUUUCAGGAGAGCUUGUUUGAAUGCAUUGCAAAAGAAAGCUAGGAAUGAAAUUACCUGGAUAGAUUGGAGAGCAAAGAUUCAGAAGCACAAGAAGAGGUUUGCGAAUCUGUGCAAGCUAAUGAGAUGUGUCUGUUGAGAUGGAAUUGAUUUAUAUAUAAUGAGUAAGGAUAGUGGAAUGAGUGAUAUGUGAUAAUGAGCAUUUGGUCUGGCGCAUUGUUAAUGGGAGACAGUAUCUAAUUGCAUGUGGUUAGAAGCUGCCAGAGAAAGCAUGUAAUGAUUAAAAUGGUGCAUGGCAGAUAGAGAUUACGUGUUACACCUACCAAUGAGUUUUACAUGUGUCAUGCAAUGAAAUUAGAAACGAUUGCUGCAUAUUGUGAAGGACAUCUGGAUAUGGCUUUCAUGAUACAGGUAGCAAUAUAGAAGGUACAGGUGUUUAAGUCGGGUGUUGUUGAAGGCUCUAAGCUGGUAAACUCAUUGGAGGUUAGCAAAAUAAAAUUCCUUUGGAUCUGUUAUAAUCUCUUUAUUUCUUAGAUGUAUUUCAAAGCUAGCAAUAAUUUCUGGUCUCUAAAUAAUCAUGACAGCUUGCAUUUGAAUGAGCACUUCUAACCUGUGGGAAUGUCAUACAUUUUAAGGCAUUGGCUGGUGGGACUUUGUGGCUGGAUUUAGUCGCAAGCAAGAUUGCAGCAGAGUAGUGGAUUACUGUUGGAUCUGCUAUAGGAAACAUUACUUGCAGGUCUUUCUUUUAUUCUCCAUUUUGUUUUGAGCAAGUCGUUGGAUGAUAGAUUCCUUUUCUCUCCUUUUUCAUUUUGUUUAGACUUGUAUCCUCAAUGUUGUUUGUUCUUGCAGCAAUUCGGUGAAUAUCUACAUGGGAAUUGGUAUUCCGUGGCUCAUUGAUACAAUAUAUGACUUCAUCGCAUACAAUGAAUUGUUGCGCAUACACAAUGCUGAAGGUACCUGGGGAGAGGAAAUGAAGAGAGAGGCAGCAGCUAGGAGCUGGGAGAUAGUAUCUGGGAGUGGGAGGUCUAAUUCUGAGGGGGGGUUUUGACUUUAUAUUUUUUAUUCUAAUCAAAAUUGGCGAACAGAAUUUAUAAGAAAAUAGAGAAGGUGCUUUUUUAUUUUCCUUUCGACUCUAUUUUUUUCCUCCCCUAAGUAGUUUAUCCAUAUUCAUUUCCUAGUAUAGGGUAUAUAGGGUAGUGAAUGAGAGUUUCUUACCAUGUUCUUAAUUUCCUUAGACUCGUAUCUUCUGUGGUGCGUUGCUAGAGGUGUAAAGGGUGUCAGCUGGCUAUUUAUGCGAGAGAAUCAUUUGUUUUCAAUUUGGACAUCGUUUGGUUACUGCAACUGUUGCUUUAUGUAAUAGCAGCUUUCUUUAACCUUUUUUUUUUUUGAAUUUGUUGUGAUUUGUAAAAGAAUGUCAAGCACCACCUUUGCCAUUGUAGAUCCAGGACUUGCCAUUGAAUCCAAGAUUUUCGUUCCAAUGCUCUAAUUGGUCUUUUGACUUAAAUGAGACUCAGAAAAAACAUGUUAAUUGCAUAUUCCAGUUGAAUCUGGAAUUUUGACAAAGAUGUGUAACUUAUAUUUAAUCAUAAACUUUUUGUUGUAAUCAUGAUUUCUUAAGAAGGAUUUCAUGAUUUUUCGUCAAUAAAAAAAAGCGAUAAGGUGUCACUUGAUUAUAAUAAUGACUGAUGCAGUAGUUCAAAACCUUUUAUGCAGGAAAGUCUUUAGAACCAGAAAGCUCUAAGCAAGGCAAGUAGUUAAGGAGAAAUGAAAGAUGUACGGCUAAUAUUUUCCUAAUAAAGAUGAAAACAUUAUACAGGGAGAACUGGACCGCAAAUACUUGAUUCAUAAGCUGGAGAAUAAACUUACGAAUUUCUAAAAUGAAAACCCUUAUACUUAGUGAAAAUGGCACUUGACAACAAAAGGAUAAAGUGCGACACCAAAACCAAAUGCUCUGUAGAAACAGAAUCAGCCACAAAAAUCAUAUAGCUAUAAACAUAACCUUCCUAUGGCAGUAUAUGUCUAAUGAAUCUUCAAUAUGGUUCAGCUUCAAACAGCAGCAUUUGUACAAGCUGUCGCUGCAGCAGCUAAUGCUGCCCUGCUUCGACUAUUCCAGAUAUGUCGUGGUACGGUAUUAUUUGGACUUCAUAACUUGAUGAAAGCAAAACAAGAUCAGCAGGAAAGAAUUCAUCCUUCUUCACUUUCAUUACAUCUCCAAUUUUCAAAUCGAUGCACUUGAUGUAUUGGAAACUUCUAUGAUUGCUGUAUACUUUAACUAACCUGUUGUUUAUUUCAAUAUCCUGGUAUUAUUCCCAAAUCUUUAUUAUAUACUGGGUGAAAAAGAAAACACGAAAUACAGAUUAAACAAAUCAAAACCAAUUGCAGAUCAGCAAUCUUUAAGCAAUUUAACAACAGAAGAAGGCAGCAAUGGAAAGUUCAAGACUUGCAAAAGGACGAGACAAAUGUGGACAUAAAAACUUUGGAAGUGAUAAAAUUGGGCAAAGAACAUGAGAAAGAAGUGUAUAGGAUGACGAAGUAGGAGCUUUUCUUCCUCCUGAAAGGAAAAUGAGAAUAAGGGAAAGAGGAAAACGAAAAGGGAAGCCAAAGUUUUCUGUGCAUCAUCGUUUUAGAAUUAUUCUAAAAUGUUGUAUCUGGAGAAGCAUUAGCAGAACAGUGCAGUAAUUGAUUACCUACAACAUGUACCUUCUGUUUUUUGAAACAUCAAUGCCACAUUUCGGAACAAAAAUCUUGACUGAUUUGUCAGAGUAACACCUAUGAACUCAGGUAGACCAGCUACAAGAUCAAUGAUGCAUGAUAGUUAGGCUUAUUAAAUUCCCCUUGCAUUAAAAUUCUAGAAAUUAAUUGCAAAAUAUGGUCCAAAACCAUAUAAAAACUACUGGAAAAUUUACUGCAAUUUGACAGAAAAUACUGGGAUUAUUGAUAAGCUACAAUACUUCAAUGUACUCAGAAGGGGCAUUUGAGCUGAGCUCCUGGACACAAAUCCGAUGGUUAUUGAUAAUCUAAGAUCAGAAAUGUCACUUACUUCUGAAUCUCCUCCAUCUUUAUCUUCAGCUUUUCACGCUCAGCUUCAGUAUUAAUGCUCCCUCGAAGUUCCAGGUAGACAGAUACCACU
rnacentral:lncRNA from 1 species